CUAAAGCCAAGACAUUAGAGGUUAAGAAUAUUGAAGGAAAUUAAGAAUAGACUCAUUGUAUUAUAUAUGUCAGAUUGGCAUCUGACAGACAUUAAGAAAGCUAAGCACAAACACCAGUAAAACAGGUUUACUAAACUCGGAUUCUAAAUUGGAUUCUUCUUCUUCUUUUGCAAUUUGGAUCUUAAUUAUUUGACCAGAUCUUGCAGACCUUUGAUGAAGUUAUUGAUAUAUUCUUCUUGAAGAUCUAUGUUAGAAAGAAUCUUCUUGAGGUUGGUAUGGUUUCUCUUCAACAGACCAGAUAUUUCAUUGUCCUUGUCCAUCACCAACUUGAUGGCUUUGCUCAAGUUCUCCUUGGAAAUCUUGCUGUUUUCUCCUUUUUCAGCUUCAACAGCAACCUUGAGUUCCUCUGCCCUUAAUCUGGUUUUCAGAACUUGAUCUCCUAAGCGGGGAAUCAACACAAUUUGGCAGUCACUGAGCAAAGAUUCCCACAUGGUUCUUGGACCACAGUGAUUCACGAAACACCCAAUAGAUGGGUGACUGAGUAACAGCUCUUGGGGAAACCAACCACCAUGCAGCAACCCUCUUCCUUGAAUCCUUUCUUGAAACCCCUCAGGCAAUGCCUCUUCAAUCCUUGUGCAUUCGUCUGGUGGUGUUAAAGCCACCAAGAAAGGUUGCCCUGAUAACUCAUGCCCAAGAACUCACUCUUGAAACUCCUCCUUUUGCAAUGUAAUCUGGCUCCCAAAUGCACAAAACACCACAGAACUUGGCUCAAAGUUGCUUAGCCAAUUAGCCCAUUUGUCUUCAAGCUGCGUGGCAUUUGUUUCAGGGAGGCAAGUCCCCCGUUAGCAUUACAGGCUUGCCAAAAUGUUGAGCAACAUAGUCACAGUAAGGUCCCUCAAUUUCACGGUGAGCCCUAAAGGCUAUGACAUCACUGUCAUUCAUGCUAGUUAUUAUCCGGUCCCGAAAUGACAAUCCUAUUCCAAAGAUUUUCAGCGCACUUGUCAGAACGGAAGCCUCUUCAGCUCUGAGUUUCACCUUGGAAGAAGGAUAACCAGGAGGAACUUCUAUCAACUCUUCUACAGUCAUUUCCUUUGUAACUUUCUUUGUCAAGAAAUAAGCGUGUGCGGCUGCAGUCACCACGGCAUAGUAAAUGGACUUGAUGUCGAUUUGGUGCGCCAAGGCUGGAAUCCAAUACCCGAAAUCAUAGAAAACUAUAUCAGGCUUUAUAGACCUUAAAAUGGCUUCAACUUGAUCUCGUGUUUGAUCAAAUGCAAUAGCAAACAAGCUAUGCAGUGGUAGAGGAACAUCGGAUGUAGUUUGGGCGCCUGGCAGGAUACCAUCUACAUGGGAAACAACAAGAGGAAAGAACUGAAUAAGAUUUGGAUAUUGGUUAAGUUGUUCCAACUUUGGCUGUGCUCCUUUAGGCAAUAAGAAGGAGACCUCGUGGUCUUUCUCAGCAAGCUUGUUUGACAGGUGAAGGAAAGGGAUGAAAUGGCCAAAGGAAAACCAUGGAAACAUGGCUACGUGAAGCUUGGAGGUGUUGGAGUUUUUCAUCUUUGCCUUGCAAACUGUGUUACUGUGACUGAGUUCAAAGGAAGUUAUAUAUAGGGGUAUUUUUAAAAGUACCCCUUAAAAGAUAAGAUACUUUUAAAAAUAACUCUCUUUAUAAUUUUAACUAUUUUUAGCUAAAUUAGAUAAAAUUACCCUUAAUAAAAUAACACGCUAUGUUGUUACAUGUCAUGUACAAAAACAUAUGAUACGCUAUGGUUAAGUUGUUACAUGUCAUGUACAAAAAUAUGUGACAUGUCAUGGUUAAGUUGUUACACGUUAUGUUAAAAAAAAAUACUGUUGUUACACGUCAUGUACAAAAACAUGUUACACGCCAUGGUUAGGUUGUUACAUGCUAUGUACAAAAACAUCUGAUAUAUCAUGAUUAGGUUGUUACUUGUCAUGUUAAAAAAAAAUGUUAUUGUUACACGCCAUGGUUAGGUUGUUACACGCCAUGGUUAGGUUGUUACACGCCAUGUUGAAAAAAAAUACUGUUGUUACAUGUCAUGUACAAAAAUAUGUUACACGUCAUGGUUAAAAAAGAUUAUUACAUGUUAUGUUGAAAAAAAAAUAUUGUUGUUACAUGCCAUAUUGAAAAAAUAUUGUUGUUACACGUCAUAUUUAAAAACAAUUUGUUACACUUUAAUGCCUAAAAUAUUGUUGUUAUUUACGAACCAAAACUUCAAUUCCUCUCAACUCUCUUCUUUUUUUUUGUUUUUUUUUUGAUAAUUUAGCGCCAAUUAAAGUGUUUAUAAUAUGUUUUCAUAAAUCAAAACAUAAAUUUUUUUAUCUAAAACACCUAUUUCAACUAAAAAUAAAAAAAUUUCUUUUGAAAACCUAGGUUUAUAAAUUUCAAAAUUUUGAGUUUAUUGGUGUUUAGGUCUCGAAUUGAUUCAAUUAAGAACUAUUUCAAACAUCUAAGAUCAUUUUUACCAUUUUAAUUUUAUCCAAAAUACCUACAAAUCAAAUUCUCUAAAUAGCUACUCACCAAAGCACAUCAAAACCAUUACUUGGUGUCUUGAAAACACAAGAAAGAAAAAUCUUAAAAUGAGAGAGAGAGAAAUCGGAAGUAUAGCAGACGAAUGUCGAAGAGAGAAAUUGAUAAAAUUUGAGAGAGUAGGAUGGUGAGAGAGAAAUCAGAAGCACAAAUGGAGAAAAAUUGUGAUGAAUGAUUUAAUUUAUUUAAAAUAAUUUCAAAAGUAUUUUUGUCAUGACUAAAUAUAAUUAAAAAUAAUUAAAUUUAUUUUAAUGAUUAUUUUUAAAAUAUUUUUAUUAAAAAAAUUUAUUCCUUAUAAUUUUCUCUUAUAUAUAUCAACAUUACGUGCCUGACAAAACUGCUAGAAAUUUUGUCGGCAUGGCCAAAAUGCAAGUCAUCAUAGUAAUUUGCCAUGACAGCAGCCAAAUUUAUAUAAGACCCUACUUGACUUGACGUAGACAUCCUUUCACAGCAGAAAAUGGGUGGAAUAAUUAUCAAAAACUUAAAAUUUUAUUUUAUUAAAUUAAUUAAAUAAGUAAACCGUUAUGUUAACUUUACAUGAAAUAAUUUAAAUAAGGUGGGCCAAGGUGGGGCUCCUUUCAAUGGUACAAAUGCCUUUAAUGAGAGGACACUCGGAAAUGAUCCCUUCAUCAAUAUGAUCCACUCAUACAAAGCCCUUCUUAAAUUAAAAGUCACUUAUGACAUUUGGUAUUACGUUAAUAAUUGAGUUCAAUGCUGGUAGGAGCUCAACAACUUGAUGUAACAAUAUUUAUGAAAAAAAGAAUGUAGAUUCGUGGUCGUAAACGUGUCGCUGGAUAUUGUGCAUUUAUUUGUGUUGAAUUAUUGAGUAAGAUGUAUUCGAUUAAUCAAAUGAAAUAGUUGGUUCAAAGUAUAGUCUUUCAUGUAAUUUUGUUUAACUUUAACACGUUUUUACUAAAUGAAAGUUCAAUCGGAUGAUAUGAGUUUCUAAUCAAUUCGAUAUCCAUAUUAUAUUAGUGCAAUCCAAUUCCAAAAAUUUUUGGGCUUAAUUGUCUCAAUAGCAGCCCCUUCAGCUUUGUAUCUCACCUUGGAAGAAGGAUAACCAGGAGGAAGCUUUAUCAGCUCUUCUACAGUCAUUUCCUCUGUAAUUUUCCUUGUGCUAUGCGCGUUUGCGGCUUUAGAGAACAUGAAAUAGCCAAUGGGCUUGAUGCCGAUUUGGUGAGCCAAGGCUGGAAUCCAAUUUCCCCAAAUCAUAGAAAACCAUAUCAGGCUUUGUAUGGCCCUUAAAAUGGCUUCAACUUGAUCUCGAGUUUGAUCAAUUGCAAUAACAAGCAAGCUACUUAGUGGCUGAGGAACAUCAGAUGCAUUUGUUUUGGAUAUGGCAAUUUCUGCGAGAAUGGAACUAAGGAACUGGGGGAUAUGAAGAAAGAAGUCACGACUACGAGGGAAGAGAUGUGGAGUAUGAAGUCAUAUCAACUAUUGCGCUGAUCCUCCAACAUGUGAAGCCGGUAACCAAUUUAGAGGCUUCAUCACAGUAGUCGGGCCCUUUUAAUAGUAAGGAGGCACGACUGAGGGACAAUGAUACUAGUUAGAUUAUAAGUUUAUUUAUUUAUAUAUUUUUUAUUGAUUGCAAUAUCGAAUAGUUUGUAAUUUUUUAUUUAUUUUUAUAAAAAUCAAAUAUUUUUUAUAAAUAUUAGUAUUUUUCAAUAUUAUUAUUUAUUUGUAUUUGCAUUAUUCAUUUGGAAUGACAACAAGAAUGAACAAAACCAAACAAUUUCAAUGGUCCUAGAAAAAAAAUGGUUUCAGAUACAUUCCACUUUAUUACUAAUGGAAUUACCAAUUGAUAUAGCAGUUUACCGACGAAAUUAUGUACAGCGUUAAUGAUAGAAUAAACUUCAUCAUCGGCAGAAAUGAAGACAUCAUCGAUGAAAACUACAUACAUUCGAACUACUGAGCUUCAUUAGCACUUCUGUUCAAAAUUCUGUCUAUAAAUUACUGGCAAAAUUUGCCGAUGAAAUGCUAUCAAUAUAGACCAAUCAUCCCUCCGACGGAUUGGAUGCUUUGUUGACUGAGUUUUCGAUAGAAUAUUCUGUCAACAAUUUUUCAAUGAAAUAUUCAAAUACUGAUGGCAUGCCCUUUACCGGUGGUGAUAUUUUCUAUGAAUUUUGAACUUUUAUCAACGGAAAUUUUCAUUGGUAAAAGUGUUAAAUUUGGUAGUGGAAUAGCACCUGAGUAUUGGUUCAUUGGUUGGUGCAUUAUCCCCUACCUAAAGAGUAGGGUUCGAAUCCCCUCUCCUUCAAUUAUAUAAAAAAAAAAUAGUAGUGAAAUAACUAUCGUUAGUCAAAAUGUCACUUGUUAUUUCAUGUCACAUGAUGCUAACAUGACAUGUUGAAAAAACAUAAUGACAUUAUUACGUGAUAUUUUUCAUGCUUUGUGUCAACGUCAUAUGAGUAUAAAAACUACAAAAUGACAUUUUAAUUAAUCACAGUUAGUCAAUCUUUAAUAAAAAAGAUCUAUAUGAAUUAAAAUAAAAGUACAGGUUUUUAAUUUAACGUAAUAAAAAAAUAAAUUUUUUUAAUAACUUAGGAUUUAUUGCAAUUUGGGUUUAGGUCUACAUUAGUUUAUAGAUGGGUAACAAUUUAUUGCAAUUUGCAAGACAAAUCUUUCAUUCCAAUUUGAGGGAUUCUUGACUGUUAAUCAUAUUCAGAUUUUAUUAUCAAGGAAAAUACAUCACGCACCAAUUAUUUGAGAAACCACUAACAUUGUUUAUUUAUUUAUUGUAUGGAGCAAUUAACAAUGAGUUCAUGCACUUUUGGACUUUUGAGGGAUUGGGUGAGGAGAGAUGCAUAAAAGAAAAUGAGAAUAUGAUGGAAUAAAUAUAGUUUGUUUUUUUAAUACCCCAACUCAAAAAUACGAUUACAUUAUUAUGUUUCCAAAAUCUUAAACUUGAUAAAUAGGUUUUAUUAAAAUUACUUAUAAAAUAUUUGAGCGUAAAAUAGAAUAGUUGUAUAUUAAGGACCUUUUAGCAAAUAGAGUGGUUUUAUUUUAAUUGGAGUCUGAUUAUAUUAUCAUGUUAAAAAAAAUAGUUAUAUCUUAUCAUAUUUUAAAAAGAAAAUCAAUUGAUUUUAUUUAAGUCAAUUUUAAAAAGAGAAGUAGUAAGACAAGUUUAAAGAAAAACAGGUAAAGUCAGUUUAUUUUAUCACAUAUAAGGAAGUUAAGGUUAGUUUUUAUUAUCAUGUUUAAAGAAAAGAAAAAAAAUACAGCAAAAAAAAUUAUUUGGGAGAAACUAAUCCUAUAGAAGAAGGUAGAAAAAGGAAAGAUUUGUUUAAGAAAGCAGUGAUUAAGGUAUGAUUAGGUUUUGACUUUAGUUUAUGUUUUUUUAAAUUUUGUUCAAAUUCGGUACUGUUCUGAUGACUUUUCAGUGGUAUGAUGGGUACCAAUGGAAAGGUCUUGAAAAGAUCUUUCCAAUGGUUUAUGUAGCUUCUCGUUUGGCUUUAUGAUUAAAAAGAUACGAACUUUUGAAGUUGAUUGGAAACCUGAUUUUAAUAGUUUUGACGAUCCAACUUUGAGUCAACGGAACUUCAUAUUCUGGUAACAUUUUGGGUUGUUUCUUUGAGGGCUUUUGCAGUAUGAAAUGAGGUGUUUAAUUUGGUGUCAAUGGCUUAGUUAGGGCUUCCUAAGUUAGGAGAAUUAAAGUCUCAAAAUAGGUUCGUUGAUAUUAAAAACCCAGAAAUCUGAGUAAGUAUGAUGAUUUCUAAAAUUUUGGCUUUUGAAACUUGAGAAUCUUGUAUUCUUUUUAAUCAAAACAAAUUUUGGCGUUAUAGUAUGAUAUGAAUACUUCAAAUUGGCGUUGAAUUUAUCAUUGGAAAUAAUUCGGGUUAAGAGUUAUCAGUGUUUGAAGUAAGCCAAAUGGUCAUGAAAAUAUGAAAUUUCAAAAUUUAUGAGAAUCCAUUUUUCAUUAUUUCAAAAAUUAUUCUUGACCUAUAUUCAACCUAUUUUGAUAGAAACUUCAGAAAUUUAAGCUAUUUGAAUUUUAGUGAAUUUUAUUUAUGAAUAAAUAUUUAUCUGAUAAAUUAAUUUGAAUUGACAUAUUUUAAAAAUUUUUAUUAAAAAUCUUCAGAUCUAAUUUUUGAUUUGUAUUUAAAAUAUUAUUACCCAACCUCAUAUUGUUACUGAUUUUGUACUAUAAUCUAUGAGUUUCUAAGUUUUGAAUAUUUUAUGUAUUUAUAAAUUAUUAAAGGAAUAAAAAUUGAUUUUCGAUCAGAAAAAAGAGGUGCUGCACCCUAAAUGCCUUAGAAUGACCACCAAAGAGUCGUGGUUCGUUUUGAUAGGUUAGCAAUGCUGUUUUCUAAUUUCGAGUAUUUUGAAUUAAUAGACUUCAAGAAGAUUUUAAUUCUUUGUCUUUUGAUUUUGGUUUUAGCGAAUCAAGUAAGUGACAAAUAUCUCUUCGGUGUUUUCAUACCCUAAAAUUUACCUCAAUGUGAUUUUCAUACUUAUAUAUGAUAUUUUGUCCUAUGAUUUGUUAAAUCGGGUGAGCAUGCUAAUAAAUGUAAGUAAAUAUGAUCUCUAUGCUGAUUUUUGGAAUAUGAUUUCGAUUUUUGUUUUGGAACAUAAGUUUUAUCAUUGUAUGCAUAUAUGAUUAUCUUUAUAAAUAUUUAAUUUGAAACGAUUAUGUUUUUGAUAAGCAUGAGAUAGUGGAUACACUAUUUUGAGAAAUUCGGGUAGUACAAAAAUAUAUGUUUCUGUUUUGUCUCCUAGUAUGGUUAUGUUAUGAUCCUGCCAAUGGGGGUUAAAUGUUGACCAUGUCGACAUAUAUUUUGUGAUUAGAAAUCGAUCUCCCAACCGCACCACCAGUUACAGAAUAACAGUAUUUCUGAUAUCUGUUCAGAGCAGCCAAUGAUUGCUUCUGAUAUGAUUAUGACCCAUGUCACAAGGGUUAAUUGUGGUUUCGAUACGAUUAUGACCCAUGCCACUAAGGUUAAUAAUGGUUUCUGCUAUAAUUAUGACCUAUGUCGUAAGGGUUAAGUAUGACCAUAGUAUGUUAUAGGAGACCAAUAAAAAUUUGAAAUUAAUGUGAAAUUAUGUUUUGUUCUGUUAUUUGAAAGUUUCGAAAUUGUGUUAGUUAUGUUAUUGGAAGCAAAAUUAUGUUUGCUUUUAUAAUUUAAAAAUAAAAUUUUGAAAUAUAUGUUUCUGAAUGAGAUUACUCAAAAUUUUGUUUUGACACCUAUAUAUGAAUUAGUAAUUUGGGCUUAAAUGUUUUGAGCAUGCUUAACCCGAUUGAAGAGAUUUCCGUUACUUACUGAGUGGUUGUACUCAUUCAAUUAAUUUUCAUCAUUUUACAAAUUUCAACAUCUUUGCAUGUUUGGGAGUUAGACUUGCUUGGCAAGAGUUUUGGUUAGCAAAAUUAACGUAUGCCCUUGAAUAAUUAUAAGCUUUGAUGUGAGUAAUUAGUUUUUAGUUUAUUAAGCAGAUGUUAGCUAGAUCAGAAAUUUUGUAUCAUUGGGGGAUUGUAUGUUAAUAUUAUAUUUUGAGACUUGAAAUUUUGUGAGGUGUCAACUUUGAAAAGAUUGUGGAGAUAUUAUAUUGAUUAAGUAUGAUAUUGUUGCCUUGCAUGCUUAUAGAAUUUGUCUCAUAAGUAUGUGACGUUUGUUAUGUUCUAAAACUUUGAGUUUGGAACGUGACAUUUUUCAUCCCCUACCGCUAUUCAAUUCAUUUAGAGCCAAGACAUUAGAGAUUAAGAAUAUUGAAGGAAAUUUACAAUGAACUUAUUGCAUUAUAUCAGAUUGGAAUCUGAUAGACAUUAAGAAAGCUAGGCACAAACACCACUAAAACAGGUUUACCAAACUCGGAUUCUAAAUUGGAUUCUUCUUCUUCUUUUGCAAUUUGGAUCUUAAUUAUUUGACCAGAUCUUGCAGACCUUUGAUGAAGUUAUUGAUAUAUUCUUCUUGAAGAUCUCUGUUAGAAAGAAUCUUCUUGAGCUUGGCAUGGUUUCUCUUCAACAGACCAGAUAUUUCAUUGUCCUUGUCCAUCACCAACUUGAUGGCUUUGCUCAAGUUCUCCUUGGAAAUCUUGCUGUUUUCUCCUUUUUCAGCUUCAACAGCAACCUUGAGUUCCUCGACCAUGAAUCUGGUGUUCAGAAUUUGAUCUCCUAAGCGGGGAAUGAACACAAUUUGGCAGUCACUGAGCAAAGAUUCCCACAUGGUUCCCGGACCACAGUGAUUCACGAAACACCCAAUAGAUGGGUGACUGAGUAACAGCUCUUGGGGAAACCAACCACCAUGCAGCAACCCUCUUCCUUGAAUCCUUUCUUGAAACCCUUCAGGCAAUGCCUCUUCAAUCCUUGUGCAUCCGUCUGGUGUUGUUAAAGCCACCAAGAAAGGUUGCCCUGAUAACUCAAGCCCAAGAACUAACUCUUGAAACUCCUCCUUUUGCAAUGUAAUCUGGCUUCCAAAUGCACAAAACACCACAGAACUUGGCUCAAAGUUGCUUAGCCAAUUAGCCCAUUUGUCUUCAAGCUGUGUGGCAUUUGUUUCAGGGAGGCAAGUCCCCGUUAGCAUUGCAGGCUUGCCAAAAUGUUGAGCAACAUAGUCACAGUAAGGUCCCUCAAUUUCACGGUGAGCCCUAAAGGCUAUGACAUCACUGUCAUUCAUGCUAGUUAUUAUCCGGUCCCGAAAUGACAAUCCUAUUCCAAAGAUUUUCAGCGCACUUGUCAGAUCGGAAACCUCUUCAGCUCUGAGUUUCACCUUGGAAGAAGGAUAACCAGGAGGAACUUCCAUCAACUCUUCUACAGUCAUUUCCCUUGUAACUUUCUUUGUCGGCAAAAGCGCGUGUGCGGCUGCAGUCACUGGGGGAUAGUAAAUGGACUUGAUGCCGAUUUGGUGCGCCAAGGCUGGAAUCCAAUACCCCAAAUCAUGGAAAACUAUAUCAGGCUUUAUAGCCCUUAGAAUGGCUUCAACUUGAUCUCGAGUUUGAUCAAACGCAAUAGCAAACAAGCUAUGCAGUGGUAGAGGAACAUCGGAUGUAGUUUGGGCGCCUGGCAGGAUACCAUCUACAUGGGAAACAACAAGAGGAAAGAACUGAAUAAGAUUUGGAUAUUGGUUAAGUUGUUCCAACUUUGGCUGUGCUCCUUUAGGCAAUAAGAAGGAGACCUCGUGACCUUUCUCAGCAAGCUUGUUUGAGAGGUGAAGGUAAGGGAUGAAAUGGCCAAAGGAAAACCAUGGAAACAUGGCUAAGUGAAGCUUGGAGGAGUUGGGGUUUCUCAUCUUUGCCUUGCAAACUGUGUUACUGUGACUGAGUUCAAAGUAAGUUAUAGAUAUCAACAGACAACAUUGUGUGGCAGACAAAACUACUACAAAUUUUGUCGACAUAGCCAAAAAGCAAGUCAUCAUAGUAAUUACCAUGGCAGCAUCCAAAUUUAUAUAAUACUUGAAUUAGACAUCCUUCAACAGCAGAAAAUGGGUAGAAUAAUCAUCAAAAACUUAAAAUUUUAUUUUAUUAAAUUAAUUAAAUAAGUAAAUAGUUAUAUUAACUUUACAUGAAAUAAUUUAAAUAACUACUUGCGUAUAAAAACUUAAAUAAGAUGCGGCUCUUUUCAAUGGUACAAAUGCCUUUAAUGAGAGGAUAUUUGGAAAUGAUCCCUUCAUAAAAAUCAUCCACUCAUACAAAGUCUUUGAUAAAUUAAAAGUCACUUAUGAUGGAACUUCGAUUAAACAUUUGGUUUAACGAUAAGUAUUGAGUUCAAUGCUUUUUAGAGCUUAAGAACUUGACUCAACAACAUUUAUGAAAAAAGGAUGCAAUGAAAAAAGGAUGCAGAUGCAUGGUCAUAAAUGUGUCACUAGAUACUGUGUAUUUAUUAGUGUUGAAAUCAUUGAAUGAGAUGUAUUCGAUUAAUUAAAUGGAAUGGUUGGUUCAAAGUAUAAUCUAUCAUGCAAUUUCGUUUAACUUCAAUAUGUUUUCACUUAAUAAAAGCUCAAUAAGAUGACAUGAGUUUCUAAUAAUUCGAUAUUCCAAAAAUUUUCAGCUUCAUUGUGUCGGACGUUUUCAACAAUAACAAAUGUGAGACAUAAUUUUUCAUUGGAAAAAUAAAAGAACGAAGAAACUUUAAAAAAAAGAUAAGGAGAACGGAUCUAUAACAAUUGGACUAAAAUGGGUUGAUGUUCAAGAUAGAUGAUGAAUAAACUUUUUAAGUCUUAAUUGGUUUUGAAAUUAAUUAAAUUAAUAAUAUUUAAUUAAUAUAUUAUAAUGACACUUGGUGUCAUGUGCUACAUAGAUUAAUCUCAUUAAUUAAAAAUUGUUAGACGAAUAUUAAGUUUUGUGAAGAACGUAUGCCAAAUCUGAGGCAUUAGCCACAGGGUCCAAGGAUGUAUAAAACAUGGGGUGCUUUACAUAAAAUGGUUAAUGGUGGCAGAAUCAACAGAGGAAGCACUCCCCAGAUGUCUUAUGACUAAUCUGUUUACUGUAACUAAGUUUAUGUUUUGUAGGGUAUCUUGUACAUGGACAUGCAGGUAUCUAACAGACAGUCAAUCAUUUAUUUGUUGGCUGUGUAAUUAUCAAACAAUUGUACAGACCCUCAUUAUGCACUCAUGCUGUAAUAUUAACUUUCAGCUAUAAUGUGCUUUUCCAUUAGUUUUUCAUUUUCAUUUUUAAAAUUUUUACCUGUAAUAGUGUGUUGAAUUUGUCACAUUUUUGGUUAUCUGCAGGAUCAGAGUGUUGUGUUUCAUUCAUUAUGUUGACUUAUAGCAACUUCAUGUGUGUUCAAAGUAAUUUACUAACAAGGUAAUUUGUGGGAUGCUUGACUUGACUCUUGAUCAUAUUCAGAUUUUACUGAUUUACUAUCAAGGUAAUUGUAUCACUCACCAAUUAUUUGACAACCCACUAACAUUAUUUUAGAAAAAAAAAGGAAAAAAACCCACUAACAUUAUUUAUAUAUUUUUGUCAUGGGGCCAGAAACAAUGAUUUCAUGCACUUUUGAUUUUGAGGGAUUUGGGUGAGUGCAUGAUAGAAAAAUGAGCAUUUGAUGGAGUAGAUAUAAUUUGUUUUCAUCCCCUACUGCUAUUCAAAUCAUUUAGACAUUAAUAAAUACAGAAAACUUUCUAAAGCCAAGACAUUAGAGGUUAAGAAUAUUGAAGGAAAUUAACAACGAACUUAUUGCAUUAUAUCAGAUUGGAAUCUGAUAGACAUUAAGAAAGCUAGGCACAAGCACCACUAAAACAGGUUUACUAUACUCGGACUCUAAAUUAUAUUCUUCUACUUCUUUUGCAAUUUGGAUCUUAUUUGACCAGAUCUUGCAGACCUUUGAUGAAGUUAUUGAUAUAUUCUUCUUGAAGAUCCCUGUUAGAAAGAAUGUUCUUGAGCUUGGCAUGGUUCUCUUCAACAGACUAGCUAUUUCAUUGUCCUUGUCCAUCACCAACUUGAUGGCUUUGCUCAAGUUCUCCUUGGAAAUCUCCCUGUUUUCUCCUUUCUCAACUUCAGCUGCAACCUCGAGUUCCUCUACCAUUAAUCUGGUGUUCAGAAUUUGAUCUCCUAAGCGGGGAAUCAACACAAUUUGGCAAUCAUUGAGCAAAGGUUCCCACAUGGUUCCACAACCACAGUGAUUCACAAAACACCCAAUAGAUGGAUGGCUGAGUAACUGUGAAAGAAAAUCAAAGAGUUUCUAAACUCUGUGAGUUAACUAAUUAAACAAAAACAGUGAGUUAAUGAAAGCCAACACAUGUGAGAUAGGAGAAGAAUUGCAUGAAGCCAUGCAAAGCCACACCAACCUUUACAUUAAAAUAUAUAUAUAGUUACAAGAAAGAGAGAGAGAAAGCCAUAAUAUAUUAAAUGAUGGGAGAUAAUUGAUCAUUCUUUCAAAACAUUAGUAACCUAUUACUUAGCGGCCUACAAAGCCAACUACCCACUACGAAACAUCACACAAACUGAAAAAUUGAUAAAGGAACUAACACUUAUAAUAAUAAAAUAGCAGAAACUUAAAUGAAUUACGUGGUCAAGGCACAUGAUUUCUUCUUCUCCAUGCUGCAACAACUCUUGGACACGACUAACUUCAGAAAUAUAUUCUUCUGGUCUUCAGGUCGAGGCUCACUCUUCAACACACCUCCUUGAGGCUGACUUGAAGAACUCCAAGUCUUUCACGUAGUAGCUCGAACUUGUUUUUACUUAGGUUCUUGGUGAGAAUAUCAGCUAACUGAUCACCGGUCCUACAAUGAUUAAGAAGGACAUCUCCAUUGUUGACAACUUCACGUAUAGCAUGGUAUUUCACCCGAAUGUGCUUUGUUCUUCCACGGUGUACUGGGUUUUUAGCCAUAGCUAUAGCAGACUGGUUGUCUAUUAGCAGUGGAGUGGCUUUAUGUUCCCUGAAACUCAAAUCAUCAAGAAUUUUUCUCAACCAUAAAACUUGAUUUGUAGCUGAUGCGGCUGAUAUAUAUUCAGCCUCAGUUGAAUAUUGAGCCACCACCUCCUGCUUUUUUGAGCUCCAAGAGAACACUGCACUUUCAAAUGAAACACAAAAACCACUUGUACUUCGAGAAUCCUCUAAACUCCCUACCCAAUCACUAUCACAAUGUCCAAGUAAAUCAUGGCUUUCUUUUUGGUAAAGCUUAAGGCCAACAUCUACCGUUCCUUUCACAUACCUCAGCACACGUUUAGCAGCUGAGUAAUGAUGUUCAGACGGAGAUUGCAUAUACUUGGAUAGCAUACUAAUGGCAUACAUAAUAUCGGGUCUAAAGGCUGAGAGAUACAAUAAGCUUCCUAUUAAGCUUCUGUAGGUAGAACUACAAGCUUCAGGUGCACCAUCGUUCUUACAAAGUUUCAUUCUAGUGGCUAAUGGUGUUGCAACAGUGUCGUAACGUGCGGGUCCGGGAACCCGAUCGCUAGAAGUGAAUGUGAAAACUCACUAAAAAUUAAACUAGGAGUCGCCACCAAUCUUUUUUUACUAGGUGCGAUUGGCCACCUAUUGACUCGAUUCUAAUCGAUGAAAACUUAAAUUAAUUUUAAGCCCACCGAAAAGAACCUUAAACUGGUCUACAAUUUUCUGGAUCUAGGUUCGGGAGUACGGUUACGCCCGGGGAAGAAUUAGCACCCCUCGGACGCCCGUUCCAUGAACGGUACCAUUUUUAGAUUAUCCUAUUGGGCUUUAAUUUUUAAUUUCACUAAAUUUCCUUAAUUAUUAUUUUUUAUUUUAUCUCCUAUUUAACCUAAAAAGGAAUGCAAAUAGGUGGUGAGAUGAAAUGCAUGACAUGAGAUAAAAAUGCCGGACAAAUAACCUUUUAUCGAGAAUAUUUUUCGAAUCCGCCCAUCAUACUGGUGGGACUCGGGAUAUUCUCUCACCUAGGGAAUUAUCCGAGAAACUCGCCUUCGUAAAUUUGACGAAUAAUUCCCGUCUUCGGGGUCAUCGUACGUUUUCUUUUUAAAAUAAUAUUUUGUGCAUAAUGAACCUAAUUCGAGCAAAAGCCUUUUAUUAAAUAUGGUUCUCGAGCCCUCCCAUCACACUGGUGGGACCCGAGGACAUCUUUUCACCUAAGGAACUUUUCGAGAAAUACCCGCCUUCGCAGGAUCCUCGAAAGAUCCCAUCAUCGGGGCUUAGACUCGAAAACAGAAAUAUUUAUGUGCAAUGAUAUAUAUGAUGCAAUACAUAUAUGCUAUGCUGAUGCAAUUAUCUAUAUUUUUUUGUUAUUAUUAAUUAUUUUUAUUUUAAUAUAUAUUUUAUUAUCAUACUAUUUUUAUGUAUUUUUAUAUUUUAUUAUUAUUUUAUUUUUCAUAAGCGAUUUUUAUUCAAACCUAAUGCCUAAGAUCUUAUUUUAUGUAUAUAUAUUUAUUAUUUUUUUUAUCUUUAUCUUUACAUUUCUUAUAGUUUAUGCCACUUAAUACUCAAUGCUUAAUUUUAAAUUAGUUAUUUUUUUAUAUUAUUAUUUAUUUAUUUAUUUAUUUAAUGUCAUGUAUAUUGUAUUUUCACAAAUUAAUUAUUUAUUAUAUGUUUGAAUUAUUAUUAUUUUAUCCUUAUCUUAUUACUUAUUAUUUAUUUUUAUCAAGUAAUUUUAUCAAGUAAUUUUUUUAUAUAAUCAAGCUCUUUAUUUAUUAAGGAUUUCGGAAUCUUGAAAUCGAGGCCCUCCCAUCGUACUGGUGGAGCCUUGGUUCGGAUUUCGAGCCUAGGGANNNNNNNNNNNNNNNNNNNNNNNNNNNNNNNNNNNNNNNNNNNNNNNNNNNNNNNNNNNNNNNNNNNNNNNNNNNNNNNNNNNNNNNNNNNNNNNNNNNNNNNNNNNNNNNNNNNNNNNNNNNNNNNNNNNNNNNNNNNNNNNNNNNNNNNNNNNNNNNNNNNNNNNNNNNNNNNNNNNNNNNNNNNNNNNNNNNNNNNNNNNNNNNNNNNNNNNNNNNNNNNNNNNNNNNNNNNNUAUAUAUAUAUAUAUAUUUUAAGUCAAACUUAGCACCACAAAAUCAAGCCAAUAUAUCUAUAAUAAAAAUGAAAAAUUUACCUUGUUAUGAAUAGCCACUCCCUCCAACACCGAAACAGUGUCGUUUUGUAAUCAAAAGGGGUUUUGGGUGAGUCAAAACGGUGCCAUUUUUAACCUUUGGCCCCUCCCUCUUUCUUCACUCACCAUUCCUCUCCCUUUCUCCUUCUCGCCCGAUCCUCACUGUCGCUGGCACUGCGUCAUCUCCAGAUCUGGUGCCGCGCCAGCCGUCGCUCCUCUCUCUCUGGUGCCGCGCCAGCCGCCGCUCCUCUCUCUCUUCCUCCGUUCGGUGCUCCUUCCCCUCGCGCCAGAUCUUCACUGUUGCUGCUCCCUUUCUCUCUGGUGCCGCGCCAGCCGCCGCUCCUCUCUCUAUUCCUCCGCUCAGCUCUUCCUUCCCUCGCGCCAGCCGCCGCUCCUCUCUCUUUUCCUCCGUUCGGCGCUCCUUCCCCUCGCGCCAGAUCUUCACUGUUGCUGCUCCCUUUCCUUUCCUCCUCCGAUUUCUUUUGUGGAUUUUUUGGUGUGGCUGCUGCUAUUUUUUCCUGUUGCAGGUUCUCUGUUUUUUGUUCUCUCUUUUUUUGGCUCCUUGGUUGCUUUCCAUUGCUUAGAAAGCUGGUAGUUUUUUUGUUGCAGGUUUUUUUUCCAAAUGCUACAGUGUCCCCUCUCCUUUAUACCCGAUUCCCGGGUUCUGGAGGGGACACGCCCAUUGCCUUGUCCCUGGGCACCCAGGGGCAAGUUCCACUAUCCUGCCAGACGCGAAUUUUUCGCGUCUGGCAAGGUGAGAGAGGUGCCUGGCAGGGUGCGUCCGCACCCUGCCAGUCGUACCUCUCUCCCUUUUUUUUCAUCAUUUUUUGUUCAUUAUAUUUUUAAUUUAGUGUCUACAAACAGCCUUGCAUCCCUACAUAUGAAAUCUUUUCAAAAGUUCCUUAGCAUAUUUCCUUUGAUGAAUACAGAUAUAAUCAGGUCCUUGCACAAAUUUUAACUCCAAAAAAUAAGUCAUCUUGCCUAAGCCGAUCAUAUCGAAUUCUUCCAUCACUUGAGUUUUAAACUGGGAAAGCACUUCAUCAUCGGGACUCGUAACUAGCAAGUCAUCCACAUAAAUGACACUAUCAGUUGCACACCAGUAGAAGAACUUUUCACAUAUAAAGUGUGCUCAUUUGAGCUUCUGUUAAAACCUUAACCAGUUAAGUAGCCAUCAAUCCUUUAGAACCAGGCUCGUGGAGCUUGUUUAAGGCCAUACAAGGCCUUUAUCAGUUGGCAAACCUUGCUUUGAGUGCCUGGUUCUACAUAUCCUUCAGGCCGUUCUAUAUAAAUCUCUUUCGAAAGCAUGCCGUUAAGAAAUGUUGACUUCACGUCAAGAUGCCAAAUGCCCCAGUUUUCUUUGACAGCCAAUGCUACCAACAAUCGUAUGGUGUUGUGUCGAGCAACUGGAGCAAAGGUCUCCAUAUAAUCGAUUCCAUACACUUGGGAAUAACCUUUCACCACAAGCUUUGCCUUGUAUUUAUUUACUGAGCCAUUCGGAUUUAAUUUUGUUUUAUAAAUCCACUUUACACCAAUGACAUUUUGAGCUUCUGAUCGAUCCACCAGAGUCCAUGUCUUAUUUUCCUUGAUCAUUUCCAUCUUCACAUUCAUGGCUUGCACCUAUUUUUCAUCUUUUUCUGCUUCAUGGUAUGUGCUUGGCUCAACGAUGGCUAUGUUGCUACGUUCAUAAAUCUCCUGCAAGGUUCUUGUACCUCUUACAGCUAAGCUUUCGUCUUCUAUCUGCUCUUUUUCACUCGAAAAAAUAUCACCAACCAGAUUAGGAUUCCAUGAUUGUUUAACAUCACUCUUGUCCUAACUCCACUUGAGUCUCUCAUCAAAUCUAAUGUCCCGACUAACAAAUAUUUUCUUGAUCUCAAUAUUGUACAGCCGGUAUCCUGUAGACACUUCACUGAAUCCCAAGUGAAUUGCAAUAUGUGAUUUUGGGUCUAGUUUGCUUUUCUUCUCAUUGGCUAUCUUGGCAUAUCACACACAUCCAAAUACUUUCAAACGGACAAUAGAAGGCUUCAACCUACGCCAUGCUUCAUAAGGGCUUUGAGAAGUCAAUGCUUUUGUAGGCAAGAUAGUAAUCAAAUACAUUGAUGCAUUAGUUGCCUCUGCCCAAAAACUUUUAGGCAAACCUUUUUCAUACAGCAAGCAUCUAGCCAUUCCAAUUAGAGUUCUAUUUUUUCUUUCACAGACUUCAUUUUGUUGAGGGCUGUAUGUUACGGUUAAUUGAUGUUUCACUCCAUUUCUGCCCAAGAAAUUUUCAAACUCAUCUGAUGUAAACUCUAUUCCAUUGUUAGUUCUAAGAAUUUUUAAAGAGCAACUAGAUUUUUUCUCCACUAAAGCUUUGAAUUUGACAAAUUUACCAUAGACCUCAGAUUUCCUUUUAAGAAAAAAAAAAUCCACUUAUACCUAGUGAAAUCAUCAAUAGAAAGCAAGUAAUAAAAACUGCCAUUAAGUGAAGCUACCUUUAUUGGACCUCUCAUUUCAAAAUGAACUAGCUGUAGUUUAUUACUAGUUUUUGAGUUGUUAAUAUUUGGAAAAAGGAGCUCUGCUUUGCUUUCUCAAUUGACAAGCUUCACAUAUUUUAUCUGGUUGACUAACCCUUAGAAGACCAUCAACUAAAUUGGUUGAGUACAUAUGCUUGAGUGAACCAUAGUUCACGUGGCCAAGUCUUUUGUGCCAGAGUUCAUUGUCGGAAGCUAAGCAUUGAUAUGCUUCAUGAUCCAUCUUUUUGAAGUUGAUAAGAAACAUUUGUUUCUCAUACCAAUAGUUAAGAUUUCUUUUCCUGUUAGAUCAAAUAUUAUGCAGGAUCUGUCAUUAAACCAUAUGAAAUAGUCAUUUUCUAAUAACCAACCAACACUAAGCAGAAUAUGACUUACAUCAGGUGAAAAGAAAACAUUAGAAAUUGUUUUCAUACCUAUUGGUGUAUCAACUCCUACCUUUCCUAUUCCAAAAAAUCUUCAAGUAUUUUCCAUUUCUAAUCUCCAUUUGAGUCUUGAAGUUUCUGUUCAAGGUAAGGAAGGUUUCGUCAUUCCCAAUGAUGUGGUUUGAACAACCAUUGUCAAUCAGCCAAUUGUCCUUUCUUUUCUAAAUGUCAAGAUUCCUAGCCAUGAAUAAACUUCUUCUUCAACAAUGGCAGCUUUCUCUUCUGAUUUGUUCCAUUUUACUUUGCAGACUGUCUCGACAUGCCCCAUCUGAUUACAUGACCUACACUUCACGUUUGGCUGAACUAGCAGAACCUCUCAGAAUGGAUCUUCUUUUUACAGUAUGAGCAAGGUGAAAAUGUACUUUUUUGUUUCCUUUAGUUUCCAUCACUGGGUCUUCUAUCCCGUUCCUUUUCUCUUGGUCUUGUUUCUUAAUGUUGGAGUUCUUAUCUCUGUUUUUGGCCAUGAAAGCCCUUUCUACAUUAUCUUCAUGUCUUAUCCCUUUCUUGGCUCUUGGGCCUGUAAGGCGUUUACAAGCUUGAUCACAUUAAGCUGUGACAGAUCCUUGGAGUCUUUUAGAGAGGAAAUCUUGGCUUCAAAUUUCUCUGAAAAGCUCACAAGAACCUUGUUGACUAUCUUUCGUUCAAUCAUGUCUUCUUUGAGCAACCUUAGCUGGUUCACCAGCUUCAUGAUUUUGUUGGAAUACUUCUUGAUGUUUUCAUCUUCUUUCAUUCUUAGGAUUUCGAACUCUCUGUGCAGAUUUAAAGCCUACAUUUGUCAAGUCUUCUCACUUGCAUAGAACUCUUCUUUCAAAUGAUCUUAAGCUUUUUUGGGAUUUUUGCAAGUCAUAAUCCUGGUGAAGAUUGAAUUAGACAAUGCAUAGUGAAUGCAAGAGAGUGUUUUAUACCUCUUUGCAACGUGUUCAUUGUGUUGUUUAAUCUGAGUAAUUGUUGGGUUCAUAUGCCUCAUAACUAGAGUGUCACCUCCCACCUCCAUAAGCUCCCAUAAAUCAAAGGCACCAAGAUAUGCCUUCAUUUUCAUAGUCAUAUGGCAUAAUUCUCACCUGAGAAAGUUGGAGGUGUUGCUGCACUGAAGUUCUGGAAGCCAUAACAAUUAAUUUUUUGAAUAAUUUCACAAAAAAGGUCCCUUAAGAUAUUUAAGGCUCUAAUACUAUGUGAAAGAAAACCAAAGAGUUUACAAACUCAGUGAGUUAACUCGUUAAACAAAAAUAGCGAGUUAAUGAAAGCCAACACGCGUGAGAUAGAAGAAGAAUUACAUGAAGCCAUGCAAAGCUACACCAACCUUUUCAUUAAACAAAUAUAUAUAUAUAUAUAUAUAUAACUAUAUAUAUAUAUAUAUGUAUAGUUCAAGAGAGAGAAAGUCAUAAAAUAUUAAAUGAUGGGAGAUAACUGGUCACUUUUUCAGAACACUAGUAACUUAUUACUUAAUGGCCUACAAAGCCAACUACCCACUAAGAAACAUCGCACAAACUGAAAAACCGAUAAAGGAACUAACACUUAUAAAAUAGCAUAAACUUAAAUGAAUCACGUGGUCGAGGCAUGUGAUUUCUUCUUCUCCAUGCCGCAACAGCUUUUUGGCGUGACUAACUUCAAAUAUAUAUUCUUCUGGUCUUCAAGUUAAGGCUCACUCUUCAGCAGUAACAAUUGCUGGGAAACCCAAGCACCAUACACCAACCUUCUUCCUUGGAUCCUUUUUUGAAACCCCUUAGGCAAUGCCUCUUUAAUCCUUGUGCAUCCGCAUGGUGGUGUUAAAGCCACCAAGAAAGGUUGCCCUGAUAACUCCAACCCAAGAAGUAACUCUUGAAACUCCUUAUUUAGCAAUGUAAUCUGACUUCUGAAUGCACGAAGCACCACAAAGCUUGGCUCAAAGUUGCUUAGCCAAUUAGCCCAUUUGUCUUCAAGUUGUGUGGCAUUUGUUUUAGGGAGGUGAUGCCCUGUUAGCAUAACAGGCUUGCCAAAAUGUUGAGCAAUAUAGUCACAAAAAAGCUCCCUUAAUUUGAUGGUAAGUCCUACAGGCUAUGACAUCAUUGCCUUUUAUGGCAGUUGUUAUCCAAUUCAAUUUUUUACCCACGUAAGUGUACGUAUCGCAAAGAUAAUAUAGAGAUGAGUAGAGUGUCAAUUCCACAGAGAAUUGAAUUAAUCCUUAUUCUUAACUACUAAAAUUAACACACUUUAAUUUUAUCUAAACAAUUAAAAUUAAAAAGGAAAAUUUAAAUUAAUAAACUAAAAACUAUAACUGAAACUAAUCUAAAAUCUGUUAAAAAAUUUACUUUAUUAAAUUUGAGUGACUACCAGACCUAGGAUUAUAAUAUCCCUCAAUACUUCAUUUGAAUAUUGUCUCUCUUUCUUAACUUAGUUUAAUGGAUUAAGUUGCUAACGUAGAGUUCUAAAUUAUUUACAAGUCUCUAUCGAGUUUCUCAUAAAAAUACCUCCCUUAAUUAAUUUACUAUAUGUCUAUGCAAAUUAUAUUGAAGAAAGAUUCAUUAAGUUUGUGCUCUAAUUUUGGCUACGUAUGGCUUAUAGGUGUAUGUCUACCCUAUAUGCAAAUCAAAUCACCUAAUCAACUAAGUGUAUUUAAUCAUACACUAUUCUAUUCAAGGUCUACCUAAAUCUCAUUAGUCAAGGUUUAACCUAGGUUUUCAAUUCAAUCUAAUUGGUGGCCAGUCAACUAGAAGCAUUAAGAACAAAAUAAAAUAAACAACUUAAAUUUAUCAAACAUAAGUAAAAGAGAGAUAAAUAAUUCAGACUUCAUAUUGAGUUCAAUCAUAAUAUUAGAUUAAUGAAUUAGUUCCCCAUCAAGUCACAUAUUAUCGUUGAAUAAAGUUUAAACAUUAAGAGCAAAACUAAGAAAAUAAGAGAAUAAAAGAAAAGAUAGAAAAACUCAAGAGUUGUAUUCUUGAUCUUCAAAUCUCCUUAAAUCUUUCAAAUUUUUCUUAGCUUCAAUGACUCUAUGGCUUGACUCUUAGCUGUUAAUUUGGUGUUUUUUUUCCCUUUUUUAACUAUUUUGAAAGGUUGUUUUUAUAGACUUUGAAGUUGGGUCAAGUUGGGUGGAGAAAGAAGUCAAUUUUAGCUAGAAUUUCCUCACCAAACUAUGUGAGUCGCAGCCUUGCCUAAUUAAUUAACAAAAAUCGUAUUGCUCUAGGAUUGUUGCAGUGCAUCAAUUUCAAUAAUAUUUUAAACCAUUUUUUAGGCCGAACUGGGUAAAGUGGUCAACAUAAAAGUUGUAGUUUUUUAUCUUAUCUUUCCAAUGCUCCAAGAAUUGCUUCAUUUGAAGCUCUUUAGAGAAAGUUAUGGCUAAGAUACUAAAACAUAUGCAUUAGAAGUCUGCAUCUUGAAAUUGCUCUCAUUCUUCCAUUAAAAUUCUUCUUUCAUCAAACACCUACAAAAGCACAAAUAAAUCAAUAACAACCUACCUUAACCAUAUUAACACCAAAUUAAGCAUAAAAUUAACUAAAAUUAGAAUAACUCACCUAAAAUAACUAAUUUAAAAUAAUUAAAUAGAACCUACUAAUUUCUAUGCAUUACUACAAGCACUAAGCUAAAUUACUAUCAAAAUUAAGCUCAAAUAACUCUAUAUCAUAGAGUUAUCAGCAGAAUUGUUACAAUAGCAACUUUUUCAGCUUUUAAUCUUACCUUGGAAGAAGGACAACCAGAAGGAACUUUUAUUAGCUCUUCCACAAUCAUUUCCUUCGUAACUUUUUUCAUGACAUGCGUAUUUGCAGCUGUAGACACCACGGCAUAGUGUAUGGACUUGCUAUCGGUUUGGUGAGCUAAGGUUUGAAUACAAUGCCCCAAAUCAUAAAAAACCAUAUAAGGCUUUAUAGCCCUUAAAAUGGCUUCAACUUGAUCUCGAGUUUGAUCAAAUGCAAUAGCAAGCAAGCUACUUAGCGGUUGAGGAACAUUGGACAUAGUUUCGGCGCUUGGGGGGAUACCAUAUACAUGCGGAACAACAAAAGGAAAGAAUUGAAUAAGAUUCGGAUAGUGGUUAAGUUGUUCCAACUUUGGCUGUGCUUCUUUAGGCAAUAAGAAGGAAACUUGGAGGCCUUUCUUAACAAGCUUGCUUGAGAGGUGAAGAUAAAGGAUGAAAUGGCCAAAGGCAAACCAAGGAAACGUGGCUACUUGAAGCUUGGAGGAGUUGGAGUUUCUCAUCUUUGUUUGAAAUUCUGCCUAGAAAUCAAGGAAGAAAGAAAGAAGAUGUAUGUGUCUAUCAUCCAAAUUAUUUAAAACCCUCAUUCACAUCAAUAAACAGUGGUGGUAUGGAUAUCAAUAAUUGAGCUAAGAUUUACAGUUCAAAGGCAAUUGUAUGGAUACAAUGGAUUUUUCCCUUUUUUUUUUGACGUCAAAGAAUUAAAUAAGUCUCUAAACCAUUUAGAAAAAUUUAAAUAAAGUUUUACAUUUAAUCAAAUCUUUGUACUUUUGUUUUGAAACCAAAUAAAUUUUUAUAUUUUUAUUUUGAGUCAAAUAAACCUUUAUACUAAUAAUUUACUUAAUCAAAAUGUUAUUUGUCAUAAUGUGACACUAACGUGAAAUACUAGCGUUUCAUAAUUAAUGAUGAUAUGGCAUAUUGAUGUAUCAUAAUUGAUGAUGAUGUGACAUAUUAAUUUGAAAUUAUAAUUUGACUAUAUUACAUUUUUCACUCUCCAUAUUAACGCCAUGUCAGUGUCAUAUGGAUAUAAAAUGAUAAUUAGUAUUUAAACUAAUGAUAAUUAGUCAAUCAUUAGUUAUAAGAACUUAUUUGAUCCAAAAUAAAAAUAUAAGGAUUUGAUUGAACACAAUAAAAAAAUAAAGACUUAUUUGAAUUUUCUUAAAUAGUUUAGGUACUUUUUUGAGCAUUAUGUCAAAAAAAAAAAUUGAAUGGAUAGUUUACAUCUAGUUCUUUAUCAGAUAUAAUUCUAAUGUUUUCUUGUUUAAUUUUUUGAACAUGUAUAUAUGUUUAUCAUAAAAUCAAACGUGUUAAAGUACUUUUAAUUUCAUGAUUAAUUAAAAGAAAUAUAAAUAAAUCGAGAUGAAAUCGUCAAGUUUAUGGGGUUUUCAUCUUGUUAAAAGUGGCAAGGUUAAUUGUUUUCGAGGAUAACUGUUUUUUUCUUAAAUGACAUUGUAGCUUAAUUGAUAUAUGAUGCAUUGCUCCAUAAAAAUUGAGUUACCUUAACGAUAAGUUUGUCAAAUAGGAAAUUUAUUUCACAAACAAAACUAGAAUCCUUGCAAUUCUACAUGACUGCAUGCAUGCUGACAGAAAGCCUACAACUUAAGAUUAUCAUAUGAAUGCAGCUUUGCUUUGUUCAGUUUGAAUUUAUUUAGAAUAUUAUAGACCCAAAAAUCUAGAAUAUAAUUGCUGCUCAUCUUUUUGUCUUUUGGAAUUGUUUGAAGAUGACAAUAUGUACAACCAUGAUACUAAUAUAUAUAUAAAGGAGGGAUUGGUGUUUAGUUUUAUGUCUUUUUAUUAUUUCCUGUAUAAUUAAUGUUUAGUAAAUUAUAUUUUUAUUUAAUAACUUACUUAUACUCGAAUGUAGAGUUUCUCCAAAUCAAUUCGAUAUUCAUAUUAUAUUAAUUUAAAAUAUUCUCUUUUUUAAUAUAUAUUCAACGGUCGAAAUUUUGUUGUAUCAAAUAAAUAGUUAAACAUUUUUAAUUGUUUAAAAUUUGACAUGCAUGAUUCUUGUGAAUAGAUCAUGAAAAUCCAACGGUUGGAUUAAUGAAAUACAAAUAAAUUUUACACUAAUGUAAGUAAAUCCCUUGUCUCGUCUAUCUCUCUAUAUAUUUAUACUUAUAUAGUAAUAUAUAAGAAAGCAUAUGAACCCUAAAGGUGUAAAUAGUUAACCACAUAUACGCUCUUAAUAAUUUAUUAAAUUAAUUUUUUACCCUAAAUUAAUAAUUUUAUUUUUAAAUUAAAAUAUUGAUAUAAAAAUAUUUUACAUAUGAAAUAAGUUUUUAUCCUUCCAAAGCACACUUAAGUGAUAAAAAUAUUUUUUGAAAAGAUUCUACUCUGUUCCAAACGUAGCCCAAAUAAAUAUCAUUUUCCAUACUCAUAAAGUAAAUCUUCGAUUUGAAUUUUUUUUCCCUUUUAUAUCUUACUCUAAAGGGUAAUUCUUUUUAAUCCCGAAAUUUAUAGGGAUUUUUUCCCCUGUUGUUUUGACUAUGUUUUUCCAAAUCAAGCCAACUUCUUAAUAUUCAUACAUGUUCUUGAUUAAUACAUCUGUGUUCCCCGAGGUAAAUAAAUGAAACAAAUACUAUUACCUUUUAUAUUUAGACGGCUUUUAAUUAUUCUAUGGGUUUGGCAUGUUUACGUGUUAGACAUCCAAGUCCACUUGUGGUCCGACUCUUACUGUCAAUGUUGCAGCCGCUCCUCCAUUGAAUAUCGAGGAACUGAGGGAAUUGAAGACAAAAGUCACGACUAUAAGGGAUGAGAUGUGGAAUAUGAAGUCAUAUCAAGUGUUGCGCAGAUCCUCUAAUAUGUGUAGCCGGCAGCCAAUUUCGAGACUUCAUCAUAGCAGUCGGGCCCUUUUAAUAAUAACGAGGCACGACUGAGAGAUAACAACACUAGUUAGAUUGUAGGUUUAUUUAUUUAUAUAUUUUUUAUUGUUUGUAAUAUCGAAUAAUUUGUAAUUUUUUAUUUAUUUUUAUAAAAAUCAAUUUUUUUUUAUAAAUAUUAGUAUUUUUUAAUAUUAUUAUUUAUUUGUAUUUGUGUUAUUCAUUUAGAAUGACAACAAGAAUGAGCAAAACCAAUCAAUUUCAAUGUUCUUAGAAAAAAAUGGUUUCAUAUAGAUUCCACUUUAUUACUAAUGGAAUUACCAAUUGACAUAGCAGUUUACCGAUGGAAUUAUGUACGACGUUAAUGACAGAAUAAACUUCAUCACCAACAGAAAUAAAGAUAUUAUCGAUGAAAACUACAUACAUUCAAACUACUGAGUUUCGUAAGCACUUUCGUGAAAAAUUUUAUCGAUAAAUUACAGACAAAAUUUGCUAACGAAAUCCAAUCAAUAUAGACCAAUCAUCCCUCCGAUGGAUUGGAUGCUUUGCUGAUUGAGUUUUCGAUAGAAUAUUUUGUCAACAAUUUUUUGACGAAAUAUUCAAGUCUUGAUGGCAUGCCCUUUACCGGUGGUGAUAUUUUCCACGGAUUGUGAACUUUUAUCGAUUGAAAUUUUCAUCGAUAAAAGUGUUAAAUUUGGUAAUGGACUAACUAUCGUUAGUUAAAAUGUCGUUUAUUAUUUUUUGCCAUAUGAUGCUAACAUGACAUAUUAACAUAUCAUAAUAGAUGGUGACAUGACAUGUUGAAAUGACAUAAUGACAUAGUUACGUGGUAUUUUUCAUGCUUCGAGCCAAUGCCACAUGAGUAUAAAAAUUACAAAAUGACAUUUUGAUUAAUCACAGUUAGUCAAUCUUUAAUCAUAAAGGUCUAUUUAAAUUAAAAUAAAAGUACAAAAAUUUAAUUUAACAUAAUAAAAAAAUAAAUAUUUAUUUAAAAUUUUUUAAUAACUUAAGAUUUAUUGCAAUUUGGGUUUAGGUCUAUAUUAGUUUAUAGAUGGGUAACAAUUUAUUGCAAUUUGCAAGAGAAAUUUUUCAUUGCAAUUUAAUUUGAGGGAUUCUUAACUGUUAGUCAUAUUUAGAUUUUAUUAUCAAGGAAAAUUUAUAACGUACAAAUUAUUUGAGAAACCACUAACAUUGUUUAUUUAUUUAUUGUAUGGAGCAAUUAACAAUGAAUUCAUGCACUUUUGGACUUUUGAGGGAUUGGGUGAGGAGAGAUGCAUAAAAGAAAAUGAGAAUAUGAUGGAGUAGAUAUAAUUUGUUUUUUUGUAAUACCCUAACUCAAAAAUACGAUUACAUUAGUAUGCUUACAAAAUCCUAAAUUUGAUAAAUAGGUUUUAUUAAAAUUACUUAUAAAAUAUUUGAGCAUAUAAUAUAAUGGUUGGAUAUUAAGGACCUUUUAGCAAAUAGAGUGGUUUUAUUUUAAUUGGAGUCAGAUAAUAUUAUCGCGUUAGAAAAAAACGGUCAGUUAUAUCUUAUCACAUUUUUUUAAAAAGAAUCAGUUAGUUUUAUCUAAGUUAAUUUUAAAAAGGAAAAGCAAUAAGACACGUUUAAAGGAAAACAGGUAAUGUCAGUUUAUUUUGUCACAUAUGAGUAAGUUAAGGUCAGUUUUCAUUAGCAUGUUUAAAGAAAAAAUACAGUAAAAAAAAAAACCAUUUGGGAGAAACUAAUCCCAGAGAAAAAGAAGGUAGAAAAAGGAUAGAUCUAUUCAAGAAAGCAGUGAUGAAGGUAUGAUUAGUCUUUAACUUUAGUUUAUGUUUCUUUAACUCUCGUUCAAAUCCAGUAUUGUUUCGGUGACUUUCCGAUGGCAUGAUGGGUACCAAUGGAAAAGUCUUGAAAAGAUCUUUCCAAUGGUUUGUGUAGCAUCUCAUUUGACUUUAUGAUUAGAAAGAUACGAAUUUUUGAAGUUGAUUGGAAAUAUGAUUUUAACAGUUUUAACGACCCAAAUUUUGGGUCAAUGGAACUUCAUAUUCUAGUAACAUUUUGGGUUGUUUCUUUGAGGGCUUCGUAGUAUGAAAUGAGAUGUUUAAUUUGGCAUCAAUGGCUUGGUUAGGGGCUUCAUAUGUUAGGAGAAUUAAAGCCUCAAAGUAGGUUUGUUGAAACUGAAAAACCUCUGAAAAAGUUUGUGAUAAUUUCUAAAUUUUUGGCUUUUGAAACUUGAGAAUCUUGUAUUCUUUUUAAUCGAAACAAAUUUUGGUGUUAUAGUAUGAUAUGAAUACUUCAAAUUGGCAUUAAUUUCAUCACUGGAAAUAAUUCGGGUUAAGAGUUAUAAGUAGUUGAAAUAAGCUAAAUGGUCAUGAAAAUAUGAAAUUUCAGAAUUUAUGAGAAUUCAUUUUUAAUUAUUUCAAAAAUUAUUCUUCACCUAUAUUCGACCUAUUUUGAUAGAAACUUUAGAAAUUUAAGCUAUUUGAAUUUUAGUGAAUUUUUUUAUUAAUAAAUAUUUAUCUGAUAAAUUAACUUGAAUUGACAUGUUUUGAAAAUAUUUAUUAGAAAUUAUCAGAUCUGAUUUUGGAUUUGUAUUUAAGAUAUUUUCACCCAAUCUCAUAUUGUUAUUGAUUUUGUACUAUUAUCUAUGAGAUUCUAAGUUUUGAAUGGUUUAUGUAUUUAUAAAUUAUUAAAAGAAUUAAAAUUUAUUUUCAGUCAGCGAAAGAGGUGCUACACCCUAAAUGCCUUAGAAUGACCACCAGAGAGUCAUGGUUCGUUUUGAUAAGUUAGCAAUGUUGGUUUCUAAUUUUGAGUAUUUUGAAUUAAUCGGAUUCAAGAAGAUUUUAAUUUUUUAUCUUUUGAUUUUAGUUUUAGCGAACCAGGUAAGUGAUUGAUAUCCAUUCAGUGUUUUCACACCUUAAAAUUUGCCUCAAUGUGAUUUUCAUACUUGUAUAUGAUAUUUUAUCAUAUGGUUUGUUAAAUUGGGUGAGCAUGCUAAUAUAUGUAAGUAAAUAUGAUUUUUAUGCUGAUUUUUGGAAUAUGAUUUUGAUUUUUGUUCUGGAACGUGAGUUUUAUCAUUGUUUGCAUAUAUGACUAUUUUUGUGAAUAUUUAAUUUGAAACGAUUAUGUUUUUGAUAUGCAUGAGAUAUGGUUUGAGAAAGUGGAUACAUUAUUUUGUGAAAUUAGGAUAAUCUAAAAAUAUAUAUUUAUGUUUUGUCCCCUAGUAUGGCUAUGUUAUGAUCCUACCAAUUAGGGUUAUAUGUUGGCCAUAUCGACAUGUAUUCUGUGAUUAGAGAUCCAUCUCCCAAUUACACCAUUAGUUACAGAAUAAUAGCUGUUCAGAGCAACCAAUUGCUGUUUUUGAUAUACUUAUGACCCAUGCCACUCGAGUUAACUAUGGUUUUGAUAUGAUUAUGACUCAUGCCAUUGAGGUUAAUUAUGGCCAUAGUAUGUUACAAGAGACUAAUAAAAAUUUAAAAUUAGUGUGAAAUUAUGUUUUGUUCUGUUAUUUGAAAGCUUCAAAAUUGUGUAAGCUAUGCUAUCUGAAGUGAAAUUAUGUUUACUUUUGUAAUUUAAAAAUGAAAUUUUGUGAUAUAUGUUUCUGAAUGAAAUUACCCAAAAUUUUGUUUUGACACUUAUAUAUGUAUUAGUAAUUUUGGCCUAAAUGUUUUGAGAAUACUUAACCCAGCAGAAGGAAUGUCCGUUGCUUGUUGAGUGGUUGUACUCAUUCCAUUAAUUCUCAUCAUUUUACAGAUUUCAACAUCUUUGCAUGUUUGGGAGUUAGACUUACUUGGCGAGAGUUUUGGUUAGCAAAAUCAACGUAUGCCUUUCGAUAAUUAUAAGUUUUGAUGUGAGUAAUCAGUUUUUAGUUUAUUAAGUAGAUGUUAGUUAGAUCAGAAAUUUGUAUCAUUUGGAGGAUAAUAUUUUAAUAUUAUAUUUUGAGACUUAAGGUUUUGUGAGGUGUAAAUUUUGAAUAGAUUGUGGAGAUAUUAUAUUGAUUAAGUAUGAUGUUGUUGCCUUGCAUGCUUAUAGGAUUUAUCUCAUUAGUAUGCGGAGUUUGUUAUGUUCUAAAACCUUCGAUUUAGAACGUGACAUUUUUCAUCCCCUACCACUAUUCAAUUCAUUUCGAGCCAAGACAUUAGAGGUUAAGAAUAUUGAAGGAAAUUUAAAAUGAACUUAUUGUAUUAUAUCAGAUUGGAAUCGGAUAGACAUUAAGAAAGCUAGGCAGAAAAACCAUUAAAACAGGUUCACUAAACUCGGAUUCUAAAUUGGAUUCUUCUUCUUUUGCAAUUUGGAUCUUAAUUAUUUGACCAGAUCUUGCAGACCUUUGAUGAUGUUAUUGAUAUACUCUUCUUGAAGAUCUCUGUUAGAAAGAAUGUUCUUGAGCUUGGCAUGGUUUCUCUUCAACAGACCAGAUAUUUCAUUGUCCUUGUCUAUCACCAACUUGAUGGCUUUGCUCAAGUUCUCCUUGGAAAUCUUGCUGUUUUCUCCUUUUUCAUCUUCGACAGCAACCUUGAGUUCCUCUACCAUUAAUCUGGUGUUCAGAAAUUGUUCUUUUAAGCGGGGAAUCAACACAAUUUGGCAGUCACUGUGCAAAGAUUCCCACAUGGUUCCCGCACCACAGUGAUUCACGAAGCACACAAUAGAUGGGUGACAGAGUCAUAGCUCUUGGGGAAACCAACCACCACUCAGCAACCCUCUUCCUUGAAUCCUUUCUUGAAACCCCUCAGGUAAUGCCUCUUCAACCCUUGUGCAUCCGUCUGGUGGUGUUAAAGCCACCAAGAAAGGUUGCCCUGAUAACUCAAGCCUAAGAACUAACUCUUGAAACUCCUCAUUUUGCAAUGUAAUCUGGCUUCCAAAUGCACAAAACACCCCAGAACUUGGCUUAAAGUUGCUUAGCCAAUUAGCCCAUUGGUCUUCAAGCUGUGUGGCAUUUGUUUCAGGGAGGCAAGGCUCGGUUAGCAUAACAGGCUUGCCAAAUGUUGAGCAACAUAGUCACAAAAAGGUCCCUCAAUUUCACGGUGAGCCCUAAAGGCUAUGACAUCACUGCCAUUCAUGCUAGUUAUUAUCCGGUCCUGAAAUGACAAUCCUAUUCCAAAGAUUUUUCGUGCAAUUGUCAGAACGGAAACCUCUUCAGCUUUGAGUUUCACCUUGGGAGAAGGAUAACUAGUAGGAACUUCUAUCAACUCUUCUAUAGUCAUUUCCUUUGUAACUUUCUUUGUCGACGAAUGCGCGUUUGCGGCUGCAGUCACCUCAGCAUAGUAAAUGGACUUGAUGUUGACUUGGUGCGUCAGGGCUGGAAUCCAAUACCCCAAAUCAUAGAAAACUAUAUCAGCUUUAUAGCCCUUAAAAUGGUUUCAACUUGAUCUCGAGUUUGAUCAAAUGCAAUAGCAAACAAGCUAUGUAGUGGUUCAGGAACAUCGGAUGUAGUUUGGGCGCUGGCAGGAUACCAUCUAUAUGUUGGGUGAGGGCUGAUCAUGCAUCAAAUACAAAUAAAACGUAGUAGAAAUAAAUUUAAAAUUAAAUUAUGCCUCACCUUCUUAAAAUCUCUUUGAUGCCAAAUUAAGUAAGAAUUAAAUUGAAAAUAAAAUAUAUAUGAUCAUAUCAAGUUUGCCUAAAUAAUAAAGGUUGAUGAAUCAUUUGUUAAAUCAUCAAAUUAGCCUUCAAAAAGCUCAACCACCUCAACCUGACUGUUGCAAACCAAAGCUGUCCAAAGAAUCUUUGUGUAGCCUUUAAUGGUGAUCCACACUAAUGAAUUAGAAAAUCUUCUUUAAAGAUUGGGAGUGCUAUGCCUUGAUAAUGUGCUAGCAAAGAUGAGUUUCAUAAACUCAUAAUCCACACAAAAUUGUGGGGCUGAACGCACAAAAGAAAUCAAGAACGCAAAGAACGACAAGACAAAAGGAAUUUCUAAUGUGUCGUUCUUUUUUUUUUCAACCGUUUUCUCUCAUUUUGUUUGGAGGCUAUAGCAAGGUAUUUAUACCUUGGAUUAAUUUUAAACCCUAAUUACAAAUCUAUUUUGUAACUACCAAUUAAUCCAAUAAUUUGAAUAAACAAUUUAAUUAAGUCCUUAAGAAGCCCAAUUAACUUAAUUAUUUAAUUUAAUCAAUUAGGCCCAAUAACUUAAUUAAACAAUUUAAUUAAUUAAGCCCAACAAUUUAAUUAAACAAUUUUAAUCAAUUAGGCCCAAUGACUUAAUUAAACAAAUUUAAUCAAUUAGGCCCAAUAACUUAAUUGUUUAAUUUAAUUAAUUAGGCCUAAUGACUUAAUUAAACAAUUUAAUUAAUUAGGCCCAAUGAUUUAAUUAAAUAAUUUAAUUAAUUACACACAACUUAAUUAAACAAUUCUAAUCAAGUGCUUGAGACGCUCAUAACUUCCAAUUUGAUUAAGUCCAAGUUAGUCACCUCUCUCAUUUUAUUUUCAGCAUUCAUUUUAGGUGUGUGACUCAUUAGGCUUCUAACAUGUUAGUAAUGAACUCAACAUAUAAUUCUUAAGUUAAACUUAAAAUUAGAUAAAUUUAAACUACUUUAAAUUUAUCAUUAAUCAAGUUAACUACUUAGAGUUCAUAGACCAAGAUUAGGAUCUAGCAAUCCAUCAUGGUUACCAAAAUGUUAGAAGAGUCAAGAUGGUUUGACUUAACUUUUCAGUGAUCAGCCUUUCAGUGUAAUUCAUUCCCUCAUCAUAUAUCUCAGAGAUGAUAAGAGCAUGGUGCAAUGUCUACUUUUAUUAAUCUCCAUAUUUGUUCUUAAAGUUUGAUCAUCAACUUUAUAAAGAGUUAUGAAACUCCUUUCAUAAUCUUCAAGUCGCCUUGGCUAAAGAUUUUAAUAAGCUAAUAUCAACCAAGAACAGUUAGGAUAUGUCCCUUGUAUCACUUGGGGUGAUGAUUCCUAUAUUGACCACUCAUGUUUCUUCACUUGCUACAUGUUAUACCUAAAAGCAUUUUGUUUUGACAUCAUUGGUUAGGCACUUGUAAGGAUGAAAUCAAAGCAUAGCACUCCACACAUAAGAUAACCUGGUGUCUCAAGUCUAGAGAGUAUUUACACAACUGACAUAUGAGAAGUAUUGCAUAGACACUUGAGUGAAUUACCAAAUGCACUUCUUAUGACGGGUCAUGUUCAAUGAACUUGCUCUCUUAGGCAAGCAUCUACAUUCUAGUUCCAAGUAUUUCUAUACUUCAACCUAUAAGAUCGGUUGCUUACUUCUCAAGUAAGGAAUAUAAAAUGUAUCAGUCUCUAGGUAUCAUUGAUGUCCAGUCCCAAUGAUACAUUGACCAGGAAUAUUUUGAGAUUACGCUUUGAUGCAUAAAGAUCUCAUAACUGGAACCCAUUACAGUUCCCUUGCAAUGCAUAUUAAUCUCAUGGACUUCAUCCAAUUAGACUUAUAAUUUUUUAUAGUUGAUGUCUUAUUGAUGAAGGAAAACUUUUAAUCAUUCAAUAUGAGUGAUGUUGUUGCAUGUUUGGAAUCAAGUUUUAACCAAUCUCAAUUAGCUGCAGGGUUCAUUCCAACACUACAUGGGAAACAACAAGAGGAAAGAACUGAAUAAGAUUUGGAUAUUGGUUAAAUUGUUCUAACUUUGGCUGUGCUUCUUUAGGCAAUAAGAAGGAGAACUUGUGGCCUUUCUCAACAAGCUUGUUUGAGAGGUGAAGGUAAGGGAUGAAAUGGCCAAAGGCAAACCAUGGAAACAUGGCUACGUGAAGCUUGGAGGAGUUGGGAUUUCUCAUCUUUGCCUUGCAAACUGUGUUACUGUGACUGAGUUCAAAGGAAGUUAUAUAUAUCAACAUUAUGUGGCUGACAAAACUGCUAGAAAUUUUGUUGGCAGAGCCAAAAAGCAAGUCUUCAUAGUAAUUACCAUGACAGCAUCCAAAUUUAUAUAAGACCCUACUUGACUUAGGCACCCUUGACAGCAGAAAAUGGGUAGAAUAAUGAUCAAAUACUUAAAAUUUAUUUUAUUAAAUUAAUUAAAUAAGUAAGUAGUUAUAUUAACUUUACAUGAAAUAAUUUAAAUAAGGUGGGGCAAGGUGGGGCUCUUUUCAAUGGUACAAGUGCCUUUAAUGAGAGGACACUUUGGAAAUGAUCCCUUCACCAAUAUGAUCCACUCAUACAAUGUCCUUAAAUUAAAAGUCACUUAUGACAUCUGGUAUAACGUUAAGAAUUGAGUUCAAUGCUUUUAGGAGUUCAACAACUUGACUUAACAAUAUUUACGAAAAAAAAAAUGUAGAUUCGUGGUCAUAAAUAUGUCACUGGAUAUUAUGUAUUUAUUAGUGUUGAAUUAUUGAGUAAGAUGUAUUCGAUUAACCAAAUGAAAUAGUUGGUUCAAAGCAUAGUCUCUCAUGUAAUUUCAUUUAACUUUACAUGUUUUUACCAAAUGAAAGUUCAAUCGGAUGAUAUGAGUUUCUAAUCAAUUCGAUAUCCAUAUUAUAUUAGCGCAAUCCAAUUGCAAAGAUUUUGGACUUAAUUGUCUCAAUAGCAGCCUCUUCAGCUUUUAAAUAAAAGAACGAAGAAUCUUUUAAAUAAAGAGAACAGGUCCAUGACAAUUGGACUAAAGUCGAUUGAAGUGCAAAAUAAAUGAUGAAUGGGCUUUUUAGAUCUAAUUGGUCUUGAAAUUAAUUAAAUUAAUAAUAUUUAAUUAAUAUAUUAUAAUAACAAUUGAUGUCAGGUACUAGAUAGAUUAUUCUUAUUCAUUAAAAAUUGUUAGAUGAAUGCUAAGUUUCGUGAAGAACGUAUGCCCCGUCUGCAAAUCUUAGGCAUUAGCCACAGGGUCCAAGGAUGUGGAAAACAUGGGGUCCUUUAAUCAAAUCAAAAGUAACAAUAACAACAUGGCUACUUCACAUCAAUAAACAGCAGUGGGACGGACAUCAAUAAUUGAGGUAAGGUUUGCAAUCCAAAAGCAAUCAUACGGAUACAAUGAUUUUCCUUUUUUUUUUAAAGUAAAACAAUUGAAUAAGUUCUUAAAUUAUAUAAAAAAUUUAAUUUUUUUAUAUUUUUAUUGUGUUUAAUUAAAUCUUUGUAUUUUAAUUUUAAACCAAAUAAGUUAUUGUAUAUUAAUUUUGAGUUAAAUAAAUAUUUAUAAUUAAUAAUUGAUUUAAUUAAAAUAUUAUUUGUCAUUUUAUGUCACGUGACGUUGACGUGACAUACUUAUAAUUAAUGUUGAUGUAAUUUGUUGACAUAUUAUAAUUGAUGAUGAUGCGACAUGUUAAUUUGGAAUUAAAAUGUGAUUAUGUAACAUUUUUCACAUCUCAUAUCAAUGUCAUGUCAGUGUCAUAUGAAUAUAAAAUGAUAUGUUGCAUUUUAAUCAUAAAGACUUAUUUGACCCAAAUAAAAGUAUAGGGGUUGAUUGAACACAAUAAAAAAAUAAAGACUUACUUGGAUUUUCUUGAAUAAUUUAGGGACUUUUUUGAAUAGUAUGGUAAAAAAAAAUGAAUAGAUGCUUUACAUCUAAGUCUUUAUCAGAUAUACUUCUCAUGUUUACUUCUUUAAUUUUUUGAAUAUAUAUAUAUAUAUAAUCAAAUAUGUUAAAGUACUUUUAAUUCCAUGCUUAAUUCAAAGAAAUAUAAAUUAAUCGAGAUGAAAUUAUCAAGUUUAUGAAGUUUUCAUCUUGUUACAAGUGGUAAGGUUAUUUGUUUUCGAGGAUAACUGUUUUUUUCUUAACUAACAUUGUAGCUUAAUUGAUAUUUGAUGCAUUGCUCCAUAAAAAUUGAGUUAGCUUAAUGAUAAGUUUGUCAAAUAAGUAAUUUAUUUCAUGAACAAAUCUAGAAUCCUUGCAAUUUUACAUGACUGCAUGCAUGCUGACAGAAAGCCUACAACUUAAAAUUAUCAUAUGAAUGCAGAUUUGCUUUGUUCAGUUUGAAUUUAUUUAGAAAUAUUAUAGACAAAAAAAUCUAGAAUAUAAUUGCUGCUCAUCUUCUUGUCUUUUGGGAUUUUUUGAAGAUGACAAUAUGUACAACCAUGAUAAUAAUAUAUAUGUAAGGAGGGAUUGGUGUUUAGUUUUAUGUCUUUUUAUUAUUUCAUGUAUAUUUAAUGUUUAGCAAAUUAUAUUUUUAUUUAAUAACUUAUACUCGAAUGUAGAGUUUCAAAAUCAAUUCGAUAUCCAUAUUAUAUUAAUUUAAAAUAUUAUCUUUUUUAAUAUAUAUUUAACUGUAGAAAUUUUAUUGUAUCAAAUAAAUACUUAAACAUUUUAAAUUAUUUAAAAUUUGACAUGCAUGAUUCUUGUGCAUAGAUCACGAAAAUCCAACGGUUGGAUUAAUCAAAUAUAAAUAAUUUUUACACUAAUGUAAGUAAAUCCCUCGUCUCGUCUAUCUCUAUAUAUAUUUAUACUUAUAUAGUAAUAUAUAAGAAAGCAUAUGAACCCUAAAUGUGUAAAUAGUUAACCACAUAUAUGCUCUUAAUAAUUUAUUAAAUUAAUUUUUUACCCUAAAUUAAUAAUUUUAUUUUUAAAUUAAAAUAUUGAUAUGCAAAUAUUUUAGAUAUGAAUUAAGUUUUUAUCCUUCCAAAGCACACAGAAGUCAAAAAUAUUUUUUAAAAAGAUUCUACUCUGUUCCAAAAGCCCAAAUGAAUAUCAUUUUCCAUACUAAUAAAGUAAAUCUUCGGUUUGAAUAAUUUUUUCCCUUUUAUAUCUUACUCUAAAGGGUAAUUCAUUUUAAUCCUGAAAUAUAUAUGGAUUUUUUCCCCUAUUUUUUUGGCUAUGCUUUUCCAAAUCAAGCCAACUUCUUAAUAUUUGUAUAUGUUCUUAAUUAAUACAUCUGUGCUCCCCGAGAUAAAUAAAUGAAACAGAUACUAUUACCUUUUAUAUUUAGAUGGCUUUUAAUUAUUCUAUGGGUUUGGCACGUUUAUGAGUUAUACGUCUAAGUCUACUGUGGUCCGACUCUUACUGUCAAUGUUGUGGUUGCUCCUCCAUCGGAUCUCGAGGAACUGAGGGAUAUGAAGAAAGAAGUCACGACUAUGAGGGAUGAGAUGUGGAAUAUGAAGUCAUAUCAAGUAUUAUCAAGAAUUGCGUAGAUCCUCCAAUAUGUGAAGCCGACAGCCAAUUUAGAGACUUCACAACAGCAGUCGAGCCCUUUUAAUAAUAAGGAGGCGCGACUGAAGGACAAUGACACUAGUUAGAUUGUAGGUUUAUUUAGUUAUAUAUAUUUUAUUGCUUGUAAUAUCGAAUAAUUUGUAAUUUUUUAUAAAAAUCAAAUAUUUUUUUUUGUAAAUAUUAGUAUUUUUUAAUAUUAUUGUUUACUUAUAUUUGUAUUAUUCACUUGGAAUGAUAACAAGAAUGAACAAAACCAAUCAAUUUCAAUGUUCCUAGAGAAAAAAUGGUUUCAUAUAUAUUCCACUUUAUUACUAAUGGAAUUACCAACUGAUAUAGCAGUUUACCGAUGAAAUUAUGUACAGCGUUAAUGACAAAAUAAACUUCAUCAUUAGCAGAAAUGAAGACAUCAUCUAUGAAAACUAUAUACAUUCGAACUACUGAGUUUCGUCAGUACUUCUGUUGAAAAUUUUGUCUAUAAAUUAUAGACAAAAUUUAUUGAUAAAAUGCAAUCAAUAGAGACUAAUCAUCCCUUCUACGGGUUGGAUGCUUUGCUGACUGAGUUUCCAAUAGAAUAUUCUGUCAAUAAUUUUUCGACAAAAUAUUCAAAUACUGAUGGCAUGCUCUUUAUCGGUGGUGAUAUUUUCCACGAAUUUUGAACUUUUAUCAACGGAAAAUUUCAUUGGUAAAAGUGUUAAAUUUGGUAGUGGACUAACUAUCGUUAGUCAAAAUGUCACUUCUUAUUUCAUGCCACAUGAUGCUAACAUGGUAUGUUAACAUGUCAUAACAGACGAUGACAUGACAUGUUGAAAUGAUAUAAUUACAUGGUAUUUUUCAUUCUUUAAGUCAAUGUCAUAUGAGUAUAAAAAUUACAAAAUGACAUUUUGAUUAAUCAUAGUUAGUCAAUCUUUAAUAAAAACGGUCUAUUUGAAUUAAAAUAACAGUAUGAGAAUUUAAUUUAAUGUAAUAAAAAAUAAAAAUUUAUUUAAAAUUUUUUAAUAACUUACGAUUUAUUACAAUUUGGGUUUAGGUCUAUAUUAGUUUAUAGAUGGGUAACAAUUUAUUGCAAUUUGCAAGAGAAAUCUUUCAUUACUAUUUGAGAGAUUCUUGAUUGUUUAUCAUAUUCAGAUUUUAUUAUCAAGGAAAAUCUAUCAUGCACUAGUUAUUUGAGAAACCACUAACAUUAUUUAUUUAUUUAUUGUAUGGAGCAAUUAACAAUGAGUUCAUGCACUUUUGGACUUUUGAGGGAUUGGGCGAGGAGAGAUGCAUAAAAAAAAAUGAGAAUCUGAUGGAGUAGAUAUAACUUUUUUUUUGUAAUACCCCAACUCAAAAAUACGAUAACAUUAUUAUGUUUACAAAAUCCUAAAUUUGAUAAAUAGGUUUUAUUAAAAUUAUAAAAUAUUUGAGUUUAUAAUAGAAUAGUUUUAUAUUAAGGACUUUUUAGCAAAUAAAGUGGUUUUAUUUUUAUUGGGGUCAUAUUACAUUAUCAUGUUAAAAAAAACAGUCAGUUAUGUCUCAUCACUUUUUAAAAAGAAAAUCAAUUAGUUUUAUCUAAGUUAAUUCUAAAAAGGAAAAAUAGUAAGACAUGUUUAAAGGAAAACAGGUAAAGUCAGUUUAUUUUAUCACAUAUAAGGAAGUUAAGAUCAGUUUUUAUUAGCACGUUUAAAGAAAAGAAAAAUAAAAUAAAAUAAAAAAUUCCAUUUGUGAGAAACUAAUCCUAGAGAAGAAGGUAGAAAAAGGAAAGAUCUAUUCAAGAAAGCAAUGAUUAAGGUAUGAUUAGGUUUUAACUUUAGUUUAUAUUUCUUUAAUUUCCGUUCAAAUCCGAUACUGUUCUGGUGGCAUGAUGGGUUCCAAUGGAAAUGUCUUGAAAGAUCUUUCCAAUGAUUUAUAUAGCAUUUCGUUUGGCUUUGUAGUUAGAAAGAUAUGAAUUUUUGAAGUUAAUUGGAAACCUGAUUUUAACAGUUUUGACGACCCAACUUUGGGUCAACGGAACUUCAUAUUUUGGUAACAUUUUAGAUUAUUUCUUUGAGGGCUUUUGUAGUAUGAAAUGAGGUGUUUAAUUUGAUGUCAAUGGCUCAGUUUGGGCUUCCUUUGUUAGGAGAAUUAAAGCCUCAAAGUAGAUUUGUUGAUACUAAAAACCCAAAAAUCUGGGUAAGUCUGAUAAUUUCUAAAUUUAUGGCUUUUGAAACUUGAGAAUCUUGUAUUUGUUUUAAUUAAAAUAAAUUUUGGUGUUAUAGUAUGAUAUGAAUACUUCAAAUUGGCAUUAAUUUUAUCAUUGAAAAUAAUUCGAGUUAAGAGUUAUAAGUAUUUGAAGUAAGCCAAAUGGUCAUAAGAAUAUGAAAUUUCAGAAUUUAUGAGAAUUUAUUUUUAAUUAUUUCAAAAAUUAUUCUUCACCUAUAUUCUACCUAUUUUGAUAGAAACUUUAGAAAUUUAAGCUAUUUGAAUUUUAGUGAAUUUUUUUAUGAAUAAAUAUUUAUCUGAUAAAUUAAUUUGAAUUGACAUAUUUUGAAAAUUUUUAUUAAAAAUCUUCAGAUCUAAUUUUGGCUCAUUAGUUGGUGUAUUAUCCCCCUGCCUAAAGAGCAGGGUUCGAAUCCCCCCUCCCCCAAGUAUAAAAAAAAAAUCUUCAGAUCUAAUUUUGGAUUUGUAUUUAAAAUGUUUUCACCCAACGUCAUAUUUUUACUGAUUUUAUACUAUAAUCUAUGAGUUUCUAAGUUUUGAAUGUUUUAUGUAUUUAUAAAUUAUUAAAAGAAUAAAAAUUGAUUUUCGAUAAGCAAAAGAGAUGCUGCUCCUUAAAUGCUUAGAAUGACCACCAAAGAGUCAUCGUUCGUUUUGAUAAGUUAGAAAUGUUGGUUUCUAAUUUCGAGUAUUUUGAAUUAAUAGGAUUCAAGAAGAUUCUAAUUCUUUUUCUUUUGAUUUUGGUUUUAGCAAAUCAGGUAAGUGACUGAUAUCCCUUCGGUGUUUUCACACCCUAAAAUUUACCUCAAUGUGAUUUUCAUACUUGUACAUGAUAUUUUGUCCUAUGAUUUGUUAAAUCGGGUGAGCAUGCUAAUAUAUGUAAGUAAAUAUGAUUUCAAUUUUUGUUCUGGAAAAUGAGUUUUAUCAUUGUAUGCAUAUAUGAUUAUCUUUGUAAAUAUUUAAUUUGAAACGAUUAUGUUUUUGAUAUGCAUGAGAAAGUGGAUACACUAUUUUGUGAAAUUCAGGUAAUAUAAAAAUAUAUGUUUCUGUUUUGUCUCCUAAUAUGUUAAUGUUAUGAUCCUGCCAAUGGGGGUUAAAUGUUGGCCAUGUUGACAUGUAUUAUGUGAUUAGAGAUCGAUCUCUCAACCGCACCACCAGUUACAGAAUAGUGGUAUUUGUAAUAGCUGUUCAGAGCAGUCAAUGGUUGCUUCUGAUACGAUUGUGACCCAUGCCAUAGGGGUUAAUUGUGGUUUUGAUAUGAUUAUGACCCGUGCCACUGAGGUUAAUUGUGAUUUCUGCUAUGAUUAUGACCUAUGUCGUAAGGGUUAAGUAUGGCCAUAGUAUUUUACAGGAGAUCAAUAAAAAUUUGAAAUUAGUGUGAAUUUAUAUUUUGUUCUGUUAUCUGAAAGCUUUGAAAUUGUGUUAGUUAUGUUAUCGGAAGAGAAAUUACGUUUACUUUUGUAAUUUAAAAAUGAAAUUUUGCAAUAUAUAUUUUUGAAUGAGAUUACUUAAAAUUUUGUUUUGACACCUAUAUAUGUAUUAGUAAUUUUGGCCUAAAUGUUUGGAGUAUGCUUAGCUCGGUUGAAGGGAUGUCCGUUACUUGCUGAGUGGUUAUACUCAUUCCAUUAAUUCUCAUCAUUUUACAGAUUUCAACAUCUUUGAAUGUUUGGGAGAUAGACUUGCUUGGCGAGAGUUUUGGUUAGCAAAAUUAACGUAUGCCUUUGAAUAAUUAUAAGCUUUGAUGUGAGUAAUUAGUUUUUCGUUUAUUAAGCAUAUCUUAGCUAGAUCAGAAAUAUGUAUCAUUUAGAGGAUUGUAUUUUAAUAUUAUAUUUUGAGACUUGAAGUUUUGUGAGGUGUAAAUUUUGAAAAGAUUGUGGAGAUAUUAUAUUGAUUAAGUAUGAUAUUGUUGCCUUGCAUGCUUAUGGGAUUUGUCUCAUAAGUAUGUGGCGUCUGUUAUGUUCUAAAGCCUUUGAUUUGGGACGUGACAUUUUUUAUCCCCUACCGCUAUUCAAUUCAUUUAAGGCCAAGACAUUAGAGGUUAAGAAUAUUGAAGGAAAUUUACAAUGAACUUAUUGCAUUAUAUCAUAUUGGAAUCUAAUAGACAUUAAGAAAGCUAGGCAAAAACAACGCUCAAACAGGUUCACUAAACUCGGAUUCUAAAUUGGAUUCUUAUUCUGCUUUUACAAUUUGGAUCUUAAUUAUUUGACCAGAUCUUGUGGACUUUUGAUGAAGUUACUAGUAUAUUUUUCUUAAAGAUCUUUGUUAGAAAGAAUGUUCUUGAGCUUGGCAUGGUUUCUCUUCAACAGACCAGCUAUUUCAUUGUCCUUUUCCAUCACCAACUUGACGGCUUUGCUCAAGUUCUCCUUGGAAAUCUUCAUGUUUUCUCCUUUUUUAGCUUCAACAGCAACCUUGAGUUCCUUUACCAUUAAUCUGGUGUUCAGAAUUUGAUCUCUUAAGCAGGGAAUCAACACAAUUUGGUAGUCACUGAGUAAAGAUUCCCACAUGGUUCUUAGACCACAAUGAUUCACGAAACACCCAAUAGAUGGGUGACAAAGUAACAGCUCUUGGGGAAACCAACCACUAUGCAGCAACCCUCUUCCUUGAAUCUUUUCUUGAAACCCCUCAGGCAAUGCCUUUUCAAUCCUUGUGCAUCUGUCUGGUGGUGUUAAAGCCACCAAGAAAGGUUGCCCUGAUAACUCAAGCCUAAGAACUAACUCUUGAAACUCCUCAUUUUGUAAUGUAAUCUGGCUUCUAAAUGCACAAAACACCACAAAACUUGGCUCAAAGUUGCUUAGCCAAUUAGCCCAUUUGUCUUCAAGCUGUGUGGCAUUUGUUUCAGGGAGGCAAGGCCCUGUUAGCAUAACAGGCUUUCCAAAAUGUUAAGCAACAUAGUCACAGAAAGGUCCCUCAAUUUCACGCUGAGCCCUAUAGGCUAUGGCAUCACUGCCAUUCAUGUCCGAUCCUGAAAUGACAAUCCUAUUCCAAAGAUUUUUUGCACAAUUUUCAGAAUGAAAACCUCUUCAGCUUUGAGUUUCACCUUGGAAGAAGGAUAACCAAGAGGAGCUUCUAUCAACUUUUCUAUAGUCAUUUUCGUUGCAACUUUCUUUGUCGACAUAUGCGCAUUUGCGGCUGCAGUCAUUGCGGCAUAGUAAAUUGACUUGAUGCCGAUUUGGUGAGCCAAGGCUGGAAUCUAAUACCUCAAAUCAUGGAAAACUAUAUCAGGCUUUAUAUCCCUUAUAAUGGCUUCAACUUGAUCCAGUUUGUCCUCGCUUAGGUUGUGGCAAGACGACAAUUUGUUUCACAUGAGGGGGGAUGUCCCACUCACUAGGAUGCCCUACUGGGUGAAUAGACCCCGCAUAACCCUCCACCAAAAUAGUUAUUUUGUAGUAGUCAGCGCAGAAUUCAAUGGUUUCACGUUUGCAUUUACUGAAAAAUUCAAUGAACUCAAUAUUCAAGCACAAUGUAAAUACUAUGUCAAUUAAGGUUCAAAUAAGAAAUAAAGAUAUUCUGACCUUAUUGUUGCAAUGGCAUGGCUGCAUGGUAGUAAAUCUGUUUGGAACUCACAACAUGAACACGUCUUCCUAGACAGGUUUACAAGUCCGUCCAUCUUCCCAUCUUUAACUUCGAACUCCAUUCGAUUGAUAGGUUUAACCACAAAGCAAUGUGCAUCAUUGAACCGUUUGCUCAACUGCUUGGCAACCCAAGGGUUGAGAGGCGUGGUCACCUUGACGGCUUCCUCGUACCAGUCAUGGAACCAACGCUAGAACAUGUCUCUGAUGAACUCGAACAAAAUAGUUGUUAGCAUUUAUCUUGCAUGCUUCAAGCAUGAGUUAACACAUUCCGCAAUGUUGGAUGUCAUCAUUUGGUAUCGCCUUGCUGGUGAACAGGCAUGUGCCCAUCUCUCAGGGCCUAUUUUCAUAAGGUCUGCGUGGGCUCCCGCGUGAAUCUGCUUAAGCUGGUUCAUAUGUUUGUUGAAAUUGAAAACCUUAUAGCAAUCUCGAGCAAGGGUAAAAAUCAUAGAAAUGUCGUCGCGCUUGAACUUGUUUUUAAAGUUUUUCUUCAAGUGGUACCCGCAUAAACCGUGGUGUGCUUCUAGGUAUACAUUUUGGAUUGCUUUCUUAAUGUCGAGAUGUUGAUAAGAAAUGAACAUAGUGUUUUCAAGACAAACAACCGCAUCACGCAGCUUGCUAAGAAACCACAUCCACGAGUCUUCGUCCUCAACAUGGCCAAUGCCAAAUGCAACUAGAUAUAUGCACUUGUUCGCAUCUUUGCAUACAGCAACAAACAGAACACCCUUGAACCUACCUUUUAGAUGUGUCGUAUCAAUUGCAACCAUAGGACGCAUUACAUCCCUAAACCCCUGAAUACAAGCCCCGUAUGCCCAGAAAUAAUAUUUGAAUAUUUCUGCCUCAUCAGUAACUGUGUCGGGAUUUUCUUGUUCUAGCAUAUAAAAAUACGAGGGUAGUAGUUGAAAUGACUCCUCUGGGGGAUCGAAAAUAAGCCUCUUCGCAUACUCCUUCGCUUGCUCGGCCUUACCAUACAAGCAUUCCAAUCCCCACUGAACCUUUAUCUCACUAAUUAUGUCCUUAGGUCUCAAUGCUACUCCAUUAGCCUGAAGCUUGUUUGACAUAAGUUGACCAAUUAUCUUCGCACUUAUGGUUGCAAAUCGCCCUUGCAAACCAUCGACAGUACACGUGUGUACUUUGUGAAAAGUCCAAACUUUCCAAUAUUCUCCUCCUUCAGGUAACUUCAUUGCAUGCACACUGAACUUGCAUGCCUUGUCCUUGCAACCAACCUCAUAACGAGCUUUACAUGACCUUUUUACUCUUAUCCCAAACUGUUAUUUCAGAGCCAACAUGUGUAAAGCUCGUUUCAACUCGGCUUUUAAGGAAAAUAUCCUUCCUUUGUAUAAGCGAUCAUCGGCACAUGUCGACUCCUCAGUUGUAAUUGUUUGGAAGGAGAACCUUUCUGCACCUGAAAUUACCCACGUACGAGAUAUCCCUGCAUUUUCUCUAUCCUAAUAACUGUCAUGGAGCAAUGUACCAGGGGAAUGAAUCCCGUUCGCAUCAGCGAUGGGGUUAUUGUAUAUGGGGUCAUCACACUGAACAUCUCCUACAUCAACACCUCCAAUAGGUUCUGUUUCGCCUUCAACAUUACUGCAAAUUGGAAUAUCAUUGUCAUAAAGCCAGUCAUCGUCUGAACUCUCAUCAUACCAUUCAUCAGGCCCAUCAUUUGAAUUGUCAUCAAAUCUAUCUUCACUGGUAGGGAACAAAUCCUCAUUUCCCUCAUCAGAUGUAGUAUUAUCCUCGAGCAUCGCAGUGUCACCCUCCAACGUCGUAGUGUUGUCCUCAAGUGUUGCAUUCUCAUUUGAAAAUGCCAUUACAACCUGUACAGUUUCACCCGAUCAUUGCAUUUGUUGGACAGAAGUAACUAAUUGGUUCGAUGCACAUCUUGAUCAAAAUUGUGUAACCAACUAUUCUAUGAAUGUCGUGUGUCUACCGAGCUACACAAAUUCUUGUGCAUAUGUCAAUUGCCAUUGUUGUGGGUUACGAACCGAAUGUUGUGGUAUAUGUGAAGCAUUGUAAAUUUCAUUUUGAUUGAGUUGAUUACCAUGUUGUUCAGCUUCUUCACGUGACAUAACAUUUGUUUGGAGUCCCUUAAUGCUGACAUACACAGCCGGAACAUUCCUCUGUUCUAGCAGAAUUAAUGCAAUAUCCUCAUCGUCCUUGGUAAUUGGCCGUAAUAGCUCUUCUGGUGUACUGAUCAAUGCAUGUAACUCAAUCUCGUCAAUUUCUGAGUUUACCCCAACAACAUCUUCAACCAGCUUCAUCAAUCCCACAAACGACAAAUCACUCUUAACCCCCUGCAUUCGUGACUCACCACCCUUGUAAAUGCCAUCCACCCACUGAUCAUUGUGUCUUAUCACAAGUCACAUAAUUAGAACCCCAUUGAAAUUUUGAAAACAACAAUAAUUUAUUAAUCAUUUAACACAUUACAUGACAUGCCGUGUUCUAAAAUUUGUCAGUCAUGUUGUAACACGCCAUGCAUAUAAUGUAAAAUGUUGAACACGUCAUGCAUAUAACGUAAAAUGUUGUAACACGCCAUGCAUAUAACGUAAAAUGUUGUAACACGCCAACGCCGACACACCAAUCACUAUAAUUAUUGUGUCCUUACACGAACUGGCCUAAAAUACCCAUGACGUGUGACACACCAAUUAGUGUAAUUACUGACUUGUUGCACGAAUUGCCCUUAAAUAACCAAUGUUGUGACACGCUAAAAUAACGCUAACACAUGUUAUAGAUGCAUGGUGUGUAACAACUCUGGGCAAUGUUUCUAAUCUAUGUUCUAAUUUACAGCAAAUGUUUCAAAUUUAAGUGUUGCAGCAAUAAACCCAAUAACAUACCUUAAUGUCAUCUAUGCUAUAGGGUCUGUUAAUCGAUGACAAUAUGACUAGAUGCUGAGAGAUAGACAACAGCCCGAUGACGAUGGUGCUCAAUAGAGAGUUGACAAAGCUCAAAUAGUUCAGAGAGUUGAUGACGAUGGUGUUCACUAGAGAGUUGACGGAGUUGAGACAGUUCAGAGAGCUGAGAGAGAAAGAUGAGCGAGCUCAAACAGCUGAGCAUUUAUUUCUAUUUUCUUUGUGGUAGGAGGGAGAUAUCUGGAGCUUAAUUUCAAACGAUGUUUUUAAAGACAUUUUGGUCUACUCAUACUUUUUUUUAGCUAGAAACAGAUAACUUUAUAUGGGUGGUUUUUUUUGAAAUCACCUUAUCAGGAGGUCCAUUUUGCAUAAUUUCCUCUUAAUCUUAUUAAUUAAAAAUUGUUAGAUGAAUAUUAAGUUUGGUGAAGAACGUAUGCCAAAUCUGAGGCAUUAGCCACAGUGUCCAAGGAUUUGCAAAACAUGGGGUGCUUUAACCAAAUAAAAAGUAAUAAAUUACAUAAAAUGGUUUAUGGUGGCAGAAUCAACGGAAGAAGCACUCCCCAGGUGUCUUAUGACUAAUCUGUUUACUAUAACUAAGUUGAUGUUUUGUAGGGUAUCUUGUACCUGGACCUGCAGAUAUCUAACAGACAGUCAACCAUUUAUUUGUUGGCUCCGUAAUUAUCAAACAAUUAUACAGACCCUCAUUAUGCACUCUCAUGCUGUAAUAUUAACUUUCAGUUAUAAUGUGCUUUUCCACUAUUUUUUUCUUUUUCUUAUUUUUUUAAAAUUUUUGCUGUAAUAAUAUGUUGAAUUUGUCACAUUUUUGGUUAUCUACAGGAUCAGAGUGUUGUGUUUCAUUCAUUACGUUGACUUAUAGCAACUUCAUGUGUGUUUAAAGUAAUUUACUAUCAAGGUAAUUUGUGGGAUGCUUGACUCUUGAUCAUAUUCAGAUUUUACUGAUUUACUAUCGAGGUAAUUGUUAUCACUCACCAAUUAUUUACGGACCCACUAACAUUAUUUAUAUAUUUUUGUCAUGGAGCAAGUAAUAAUUGAUUUCUGUAAAAGUGGGUUCUUGUGAUAGGGAGAGAAAGCGUUGCAAAUAAGUAAAAUGAUGUGCCAGAGGUGGCAGAGAGGAAGAUUGAAGCAGUUCCUGAAGUACUAAGUGCUAUGGCAAAUGGAAGACAAUAAGAAGAGACUUAAAGAGACUUAGAGAGUACAAGAUAAUUAGAGAGAGAAUUUAGAGAGAGAAGCUCUCAAGUUGAGAAUGUGUUAGCUUGGAAGGGGAGAAAAGAGUCCUCCCAAAUGAAUUGUGAGGCUCUAUAUAUAGUGCUAAAAGUGACGGUUACAUAAGAAUAGGCUUUAAUGUGCCUAAUGAAUGACAUUAUUAUGAAAAAUAUUAAUGUAAGUAACCGUUACUGUAAUUGGAUGUAGUAAGACUUGUUCUUAAGUAAAGGUAAUAGAAAAGAGGUGUACAAGAAUAGGUACAAGAGAAUAAGCUGUACGAGAAUAGGUAUAAGAGAAUAAGCUGUACAUGAAUAAGUAUACGAGAACAAGGUAAGAGGGUGAAAAACUUGUACUUCAGGAAAUGGUUAAGAGAAAGACCUCUUAACUACCUCCAUAUCUGAGCCACCAAGCCAAACUCUCUGGAACAUCCUAAGAUGAAAGUAACCCAUGAACCCUGCCACUUAUUCUGAGCUACUUUCACUGUCAUCCAAGUGAAGCGGUUAUUCUAUUCAAAGUGACUGUUCUACUUGUAUUAGUUGUUCCAUAUGAAGUAAUACUUUACUUUUUCUAAUUGUUCUACUUUAAGUAGUACUUGAAGUAGCGCUUCACUUGUUUUAGUUAUUCUGCGUGAAGUAACACUUCACUUGUUCUGAUUGUUCUCUAUACAACAUUAUGUUGUAACAUAAUUCUUUAGAGUAACAGUAUUAACCAAAAUCUAGUAUCUACAAUUUCAUUCACUUUUGACUUUUGAGACAUUUGGCUGAGGGAUUUAUAAGAAAAAAGACAAUAUGAUGAAGUAGAUAUAAUUUGUUUUCAUCCCCUACUGCUAUUCAAAUCAUUUAGACAUUAAUAAAUACAGAAAACUUUCUAAAGCCAAUACAUUAGAGGUUAAGAAUAUUGAAGGAAACUAACAAUGAACUUAUUGCAUUAUAUCAGAUUGGAAUCUAAUAGACAUUAAGAAACCUCACCACUAAAACAGGUUUACUAAACUCGGACUCUAAAUUGGAUUCUUCUUCUUCUUUUGCAAUUUGGAUCUUAUUUGACCAGAUCUUGCAGACCUUCGAUGAAGUUAUUGAUAUAUUCUUCUUGAAGAUCUCUGUUAGAAAGAAUGUUCUUGAGCUUGGCAUGGUUUCUCUUCAACAGACUAGCUGUUUCAUUGUCCUUGUCCAUCACCAACUUGAUGGCUUUGCUCAAGUUCUCCUUGGAAAUCUCCCUGUUUUCUCCUUUCUCAACUUCAACUGCAACCUCGAGUUCCUCUACCAUUAAUCUGGUGUUCAGAAUUUGAUCUCCUAAGCGGGGAAUCAACACAAUUUGGCAGUUACAUAGCAAAGAUUCCCACAUGGUUCCACAACCACAGUGAUUCACAAAACACCCAACAGAUGGAUGGCUGAGUAACAGCUCCUGGGGAACCCAGCCACCAUACACCAACCCUCGUCCUUGGAUCCUUUCUUGAAACCCCUCAGGCAAUGCCUCUUCAAUCCUUGUGCAUCCGUUUGGUGGUGUUAAAGCCACCAAGAAAGGUUGCCCUGAUAACUCAAGCCCAAGAACUAACUCUUGAAACUCCUCCUUUUGCAAUGUAAUCUGGCUUCCAAAUGCACAAAACACCACAGAACUUGGCUCAAAGUUGCUUAGCCAAUUAGCCGAGCUGUGUGGGAUUUGUUUCAGGGAGGCAAGGCCCUGUUAGCAUAACAGGCUUGCCAAAAUGUUGAGCAACAUAGUCACAGAAAGGUCCCUCAAUUUCACGGUGAGCCCUAUAGGCUAUGGCAUCACUGCCAUUCAUGCUAGUUAUUAUCCGGUCCUGAAAUGACAAUCCUAUUCCAAAGAUUUUCCGCGCAAUUGUCAGAACGGAAACCUCUUCAGCUCUGAGUUUCACCUUGGAAGAUGGAUAACCAGGAGGAACUUCUAUCAACUCUUCUACAGUCAUUUCCGUUGUAACUUUCUUUGUCGACGUAUGCGCGUUUGCGGCUGCAGACACCGCGGCAUAGUACAUGGACUUGCUGCCGGUUUGGUGAGCUAAGGCUGGAAUCCAAUGCCUCAAAUCAUAGAAAACCAUAUCAGGCUUUAUAGCCCUUAAAAUGGCUUGAACAUGAUCUCGAGUUUGAUCAAAUGCAAUAGCAAGCAAGCUACCUAGCGGUUGAGGAACAUCGGACAUAGUUUCGGCGCCUGGCGGGAUACCAUCUACAUGGGGAACAACAAGAGGAAAGAAUUGAAUAAGAUUCGGAUAGUGGUUAAGUUGUUCCAACUUUGGCUGUGCUCCUUUAGGCAAUAAGAAGGAAACUUGGAGGCCUUUCUCAGCAAGCUUGUUUGAGAGGUGAAGAUAAGGGAUGAAAUGGCCAAAGGCAAACCAAGGAAACAUGGCUACCUGAAGCUUGGUGGAGUUGGAGUUUCUCAUCUUUGUUUGAGAUUCUGCCUAAAAAUCGAGGAAGAAUGAAAGAAGACGUAUGUGUCUACCAUCCAAAUUAUUUAAGACCCUCCUUCACAUCUAUAAACAGCAGUGAUACGGAUAUCAAUAAUUGAGGGAAGAUUUACGAUCCAAAAGCAAUCGUACGGAUACAAUGGUUUUCUUUCUUUUCUUUUUUUAAGAAAAAGCAAAAAAAACCAAAUAAGUUUUUAUAUUUUUGUUGUAUUUAAUUAAGUUUUUACCUUUUAUAUUUAGAUGGCUUUUAAUUAUUCUAUGGGUUUGGCACGUUUAUGAGUUAGACGUCUAAGUCUGCUUGUGGGUCGACUCUUACUGUCAAUGUUGCGACCAUUCCUCCAUCGAAUCUCGAGGAGAUGAGGGAUAUGAAGAAAGAAGUCAUGACUGUGAGAGAUGAGAUAUGGAAUAUGAAAUCAUAUCAAGUAUUGCACAGAUCCUCCAACAUGUGAAGUCCACAGCCCACUUUGAGACUUCAUCACAGCAGUGGGGCCCUUUUAAUAAUUAAGAGGCGAGACUGAGACAACGGCACUAGUUAGAAUGUAAGUUUAUUUAUUUAUAUAUUUUUUAUUGAUUGUAAUAUCAAAUAUUAUAAUUUGUCAUUUUUUAUUUAUUUUUAUAAAAAUCAAAUAUUUUUUAUAAAUAAUAUUUUUUUAAUAUUAUUAUUUAUUUGUAUUUGUAUUAUUCAUUUGAAAUGAUAACAAGAAUGAACAAAACCAAUCAAUUUCAAUUUUCCUAGGAAAAAAUGGUUUCAUAUAUAUUCCACUUUAUUACUAAUGGAUUUACCAAUUGAUAUAGUAGUUUACUGCUGGAAAUAUGUAUAACGUUAGUGACAGAAUAAACUUCACCACUGAUGGAAAUGAAGACAUCAUCGACAAAAACUACAUACAUUUGAACUACUAAGUUUCGUCAGCAUUUUUGUUGAAAUUUCUGUCAGUAAAUUACCGACAAAAUUUGCCAACGAAAUACGAUCAAUAUAGACCAAUCAUCCCUUCAACAGGUUGGAUGUUUUACUGAUUGGGUUUUCGACAAAAUAUUCAAAUAUUGAUGGCAUGCCCUUUACCGGUGAUGAUAUUUUCCACAAAUUUUGAACCUUUGUCAAUGGAAAUUUUUGUUAGUAAAAGUGUUAAAUUUGGUAGUAGACUAACUAUCAUUAGUCCAAAUGUUACUUGAUAUUUCAUGCCACAUGAUGUUAACAUAACAUGUUAACAUGUCAUAAUAGAUGGUCAUAUGAUAUACUGAAAUAACAUAAUGAUAUGGUUAUGUGGUAUUUUUCAUGCUCCAAGUCAAUGCCAUAUGAGUAUAAAAAUUUUAAAAUGAUAUUUUGAUUAAUCGCAGUUAGUCAAUCAUUAAUCAUAAAGGUAUAUUUGAAUUAAAAUAAAAUUAAGAGAAUUUGAUUUAACGUAAUAAAAAAAUAAAAAUUUAUUUAAAAUUUUUUAAUAAUUUAAGAUUUAUUGCUAUUUGGGUUUAGAUCAUAUUAGAGUAUAGUUGGGUAAUAAUUUAUUGCAAUUUGCAAGAGAAAUCUUUCAUUACAAUUUGAGGGAAUCUUGACUUUUGAUCAUAUUCAGAUUUUGUUAUCAAGGAAAAUCUAUCACGCACCAAUUAUUUGAGAAACCACUAACUUUGUUUAUUUAUUUAUUGUAUGGAGCAAUUAGCAAUGAAUUCAUGCACUUAUGGACUUUUGAGGGAUUGGAUGAGGUGAGAUUCAUAAAGAAAAAUGAGAAUAUGAUGGAGUAGAUUUAAUUUGUUUUUCAUCACCUACCGCUAUUCAAAUCAUCUAGAGCCAAGACAUUAGAGGUAAAGAAUAUUGAAGGAAACUUAUUGUAUUAUAUAUGUCAGAUUGGGAUCUGACGAACAUUAAGAAAGCUAGGCACAAAAACCGGUAAAACAGGUUUACUAAACUCGGAUUCUAAAUUGGAUUCGUCUUCUUUUUUAGCAAUUUGGAUCUUAUUUGACCAGAUCUUGCAGACCUUUGAUGAAGGUAUUGAUAUAUUCUUCUUGAAGAUCUUUGUUAGAAAGAAUGUUCUUGAGCUUGGCAUGGUUUCUCUUCAACAGACCAGCUAUUUCAUUGUCCUUGUCCAUCACCAACUUGAUGGCUUUGCUCAAGUUCUCCUUGGAAAUCUCCCUGUUUUCUCCUUUCUGAACUUCAACUGCGACCUCGAGUUCCUCUACCAUUAGUCUGGUGUUCAGAAUUUGAUCUCCUAAGCGGGGAAUCAACACAAUUUGGCAGUCACUGAGCAAAGAUUCCCACAUGGUUCCAUAACCACAGUGAUUCACGAAACACCCAACAGAUGAAUGGCUGAGUAAUAGCUCCUGGGGAACCCAACCACCAUACACCAACCCUCUUCCUUGGAUCCUUUCAUGAAACCCCUCAGGCAAAGCCUCUUCAAUCGUUAUGCAUCCGUCUGGUGGUGUUAAAGCCACCAAGAAAGGUUGCCCUGAUAACUCAAGCCCAAGAACCAACUCUUGAAACUCCCCCUUUUGCAAUGCAAUCUGGCUUCCAAAUGAACAAAACACCACAGAACUUGGCUCAAAGUUGCUUAGCCAAUUAGCCCAUUUGUCUUCAAGCUGUGUGGCAUUUGUUUCAGGUAGGGAAGGCCCUGUUAACAUAACAGGCUUGCCAGAAUGUUGAGCAAUAUAGUCACAGAAAGGUCCUUCAAUUUCACGGUAAGUCCUAAAGGCUAUGACAUCACUGUCUUUCAUGGCAGUUAUUAUCCGGUCCUGAAAUGACAAUCCUAU
rnacentral:lncRNA from 1 species